rnacentral:lncRNA from 1 species
UUGGAGGAAAGGUAGUGGAGAAAGCCUUGCUAGACUUGGGAGCAAGUGUGAAUUUGCUUCCAUAUUCUGUCUACAAGCAACUGGGACUUGGAGAGUUGAAGCCAACAGCAAUCACUUUGUCUCUGGCAGAUAGAUCAGUGAAAAUUCCAAGAGGGGUAAUUGAGGAUGUAUUGGUUCAAGUAGAUAAUUUCUACUAUCCUGUAGAUUUUGUUGUUCUUGAUACAGAUCCUACUGUAAAGGAAGCUAAUUUAGUUCCUAUCAUCCUUGGAAGGCCAUUUCUUGCAACUUCAAAUGCAAUCAUCAACUGUAGAAAUGGGCUUAUGCAACUCACUUUUGGUAACAUGACACUGGAUCUAAAUAUUUUCUAUAUGUCUAAAAAGCAAAUCACUCCAGAAGAAGAAGAGGGUCCAGAAGAGCUAUGUAUUAUUGAUACUUUGGUGGAGGAGCACUGCAAUCAACAUAUGCAAGAUAAGUUGAAUGAAAGUUUUGUGGAUAUUGAGGAAGGUUUUUCUGAAUCUCCUAAUGGGCUUGCUACUCUACAAAGUUGGAGAAAGAUAGAAGGAAUUCUACCUUUGUUCAAUGAAGAAGAGGAGGCAGCUGUUGAAAAAGAAAUUCCAAAACUCAAUCUGAAGCCUUUACCUAUGGAGCUGAAAUAUACAUAUCUUGAAGAAAAUAAUCAAUGUCCUGUCGUAAUAUCUUCAUCUCAAACCAAGUCUCAAGUGAAGGAUGCAAGCUUCAAAUGGGAUCCGGGCAAACUGAAUCAGGAAGGGCAAAAAGUUUUGAUGUAUGACACAAGACUCCAUAUCUUUCCUGGGAAGCUCAAGUCAAGGUGGAUUGGUCCAUUUGUUAUUCACCGAGUAUAUUCCAAUGGAGUGGUGGACUUAUUGAAUUCCAAUGGCAAGGACAGCUUUAGAGUCAAUGGAUAUCGUCUUAAGCCGUUCAUGGAGUCAUUCAAAUCAGAAAAGGAGGCAAUCAACCUCCUUGAACCUCAAAAAGCCUAAGUGAAAUGGGUUUGCUGGACGUGGUUUUACCACAGUCCAAAAAUUUUUGUAAAUUUUGUAAAUUUUCAAGUUGUUUCCAUGCUUUUAAUCUUAGUUUUUGAUUUUAAAUCAUGUUUUUAGGUGUGUUUUAAUCGUUUUAUAUGAUCCCAGGCGGAAGAAAUUUCAAGGGGAUUGAAAAGAAAAAAAUCGGGUCGAAAUUGGAGCCGAAACAGAGCAAAAACAGGGGAAAAACAGAGCUCUGCGAAAUUUCGCAGGGUGAAGGAAACUUCUGCGAAAUUGGCAUUUUGCUGCCAAACCAUUCCGCAGCACUGUAGAAGCCUCUGCGAGUGUAUUUCGCAAUUGCGAAAGUGGAUUUGGCACACGAGUGCCACUUCGCAGCACAGUGACAUCAAUUUCGCAGCUGCGAAACUCACUGCGAAGUUGCUGCGAAAAUGGCAAGUUGCUGCGAAAUUGGCGUUUUGUUGCGAAACGUAAUCUGACCCCUGGGCUUCCGUUUUUCCUAUUUAUACCUGUCAAAAGUGCUGCGAAAAAGGUUUCAAAAAUUAGAGCACCAUUCUCGCAGCCCUUUCAUCUUCUUCGCCAAGCCACGCCGUCCGUUUCUCCGGUCGUCUUCUCCGUUUAGCAGCGCCGGCCAAAGAUCGAUAGCCCAAAAAUGGCACGAACGCGAGGGGCAAAGUCUUCAUCCCCUUCGAACCGCAAAAGGAGUCUGCGAAAGGAGCCAAGUUCAGGCUCUGUUCCAGAACCUGCUCCAAAGCCUUCGCCGUCGAGACCACAACCUUCUCCAGUGAAGCCGGCGCCACCAAAGCCGCCGGCAAGGCGAUAUUUAACCAGGUCAGGUGGUCAGCCAUUGAAGAAGAAAGCCAGAGUUGAGAGCUCUGAACCAAUCGAUUUGACUGAGCAAUCCCCUGAGAAAUCACCAAAUCCUUCACCGGUACAAAUUCCAGUGCCAUCACCGGUUCCCUCGCCAAUUCCCUCACCAGAAGCAACUCCAAUUCCAUCGCCGGUACCAUCUCCGGCACCCCAAGAAAAAGCUCAGGAGCCUCAAGCGCCAAUUCCAGAGCCCCAAAUUGCAGCUGAAGCACCUCUGGAAGAAGUGAUCCGAAGGCCAAUGCUGCCUCAGCCCCCAAUCGAAGGAAACCUGGAUUGCCGAACUCGGGCAUUCCAUUCUGAGCUUUGCUUCGAUUUAACAGCAUUCAGAGUGAGGCCAGAGCUUGCCCAAUCCUUCCAACUGCUGAGGAGAUAUCAUAUGGAGCAUCUGCUAGCUCCAAGGGAUUUUUUCUAUCCCCGGGUAGUCACGGAUUUCUACCAAACCAUGACAACCAAAGAAGUAAGAAAUCCAACUCUGAUUCAUUUCAUAAUUGAUGGAAGGCAUGGUAUUUUGGGAGCAAGACAUAUUGCUGAAGCCCUGCAAAUUCCUUUUGAGCCAACUCAAUUCGACAAUUUUAAAGCUUGGACAAAUCCUACUGAGUUAGAGAUGGUUAGCACACUAACCAGAGGAGCUGCAAAUCGAUCGCAUUUGUUGAGGGGGGAGCUACCUCCAGUUAUGUUUUUGAUUGAUGCCUUUUUGAGGCAUAAUAUCUAUCCCCUGCAGCAUUGGACCCAAAGAAGGGGAAUUCUCCUAGAAGCCUUGUACAAAAUGUCUGAAGGAUUCUUCUUUGGGCCUCAUCAUCUGAUCAUGGCAGCCCUUCUAUACUUUGAGGAGAAGGUUCACAAGAAGAAGCUUCAAAGAGCAGAUUGCAUUCCACUCCUCUUCCCAAGGCUGCUAUGCCAAGUUUUGGAGCAUCUCGGAUACCCCUCUGAGCCUCAGCAGGAAAGAAAGAGAAUAUGCCGUGAGCCUUUUACCCUUGAUAAAUGGAAUAAUAUGACGGCCUACAAAAUUGAUCAGCCUGGGCAGCCUCAGCCAGCAGCAAGGAGAGUCUCCCCAAGACAUAUACCUGAAGGUAUAACACUUGCUACUCCUGCCAUCCCUCGAGCUCCACCAGCUGCACCUGCUCCAUCACAGCCAUCCACAUCAGCUGAGCCGAGGAUGGCCAUCCCUAUAUCCGAAUAUCGAGAGCUGUGCCGUGCAUUGGAGACUCUUACAGCUUCUCAGAGCAAUCUUGCUCAGGAGUUGGCAGCCAUUAAAGCAUGCCAGGAGCAGAUGUUAGCCUCUCAGACUCAACAAGCUGCCAUCCUAAGGCAGCUUCAAGUCCAUUUCGAUCUGCCACAAGCUGUAGAGCCCUCUAUUCCUACUCCACCAGAGCCACACUCUCAGCCUUCAGAGUCUCAUCCUCCAGAACCCGAAGCACCAGCUGAUCCACCUACUGAGGAGGCAGAUCCUUCUGCCUAGCACCAUCACCCCCCUCAUCAGACAUUAUAUAUAUAUUUGCUGUUUAUGUUUUUAUGCAUGUUUGUUUUGUUUUAGUUGAAAAGAAAUCCCAGUAUUUUGGUACUAUAUAUGGGAUUCCUUGUGUUACUUGUCUUUAGUAUUGUAAUCACAUGAACUCAAAGUAAUACAAGUUGACUAUUUCUUGUUAAAAGUUAGCAUUAAAGUUUCCUUAUUUCCUUUUCUCACAUAUUCUAUUCUUUUUGAAACAUGUGGUUUUCCCCAAUCAAUAUUCGAAUUUGAUAUCAGCAUGGAGGUACCACUUCCUCCCUUUUAUUACAGUCACUCAAAUCACAUUGAGGACAAUGCUCAGUUCGGUUGGGGGGUAUGAGGAAGGAAGUAUUCUAAACCUUUUUGGUAUUGCAAUUAUAUUGGUUAAUUAGUUGUAGAUUUUACUUUUUACUAGUGUUACUCUAUUCUCCAUGAAUUUUGAGGAAAAAUUUUCAAAUUAAACCAAGAGAAAUUGAACUGUUGUUUUUCACUUGACUUAGAGUAUGGAUUAUGCUUACUAAAGUGGUUCAAUUGUUGAAACUUCUACUGAAAUUGAAUUGAGUUCUUCCACUUUAAGCUAUCCACACACUGUGCACAUUAGUUUCCGAUUAUAAGAUGAAAAGCUAUUUCCCUCUUGACUUAGUAUAUUUUUGGGACUUGGUAUAUUUGACCUCAUUUGAUAAAAAUUGAAACACCCUGCAAAAGGCCAAUGAGCCUUUGAAAUAAAGAAAGUUGUUUGCUUGCCUUGAAACCCGAGCAAGGUCUGAGGGGUAUAUGGUGAAAAUCUUUAAAGCCUGGUGCCCUAAGCCUUAAUUGGUUGGGAGUCACCGACCUCAAUGCUCGUUACAAGGGUGAAUAGGUAGAGUUAGCAUAUGGUAGAUGCUUGGGUAUUAGAAAUUCAUUCUUAAAAGUCCGGGGAAAAAUCCGAGGAGUUAGUGGUUGAAAGAUCCUUAAAACUUGGUGCCCUAAACCUUAAUUGGUUGGGAGUCAUCGAUGGACCCCCAUUACAUGGACAAGUCAGAAAGAGUACCCCAUAAAGCUACCUUAAAAAAAAAAAAAAAAAAAAAAAAAAAAAAAAAGAUGAAAGUGUGUUCUUUUCUUAUUGAUUUUGGUCAGUUUGCUAAAGUGUUGAAAAGAGAUAGGUUGGGGGGUGAGAUUAGUAGCAUAUUAUUCUCGGAACCUAAGGAACCAAUACACAUAGAUUUUUGUGGAAGAUUGAAGUUUAGUUCUUAGAAAAUGAAAUGAUUUUAAAACUUCAGUUUGCAUAAUGCACUCCCUUGAUUGACAGUGUUUAGCAUAGGUGUUAUGACUCUUGUUGAGAUUUGGGUUUGUAUUUCUUUAAUGAUUCAUGUGAGAAAUAGAUCAUCAUGCCACUUGAGAAUUAUUUUCCUUUUAGCAUGAUGUUGUAAAUUUUAGAUUAGUUUGCUAUUUAUUUUUUAUUUUCUCUCCUAUAUUGCUAAGGGACUAGCAAUAUGUCGGUUGGGGGGAGUGAUUACUACUCAAAAAGUGCUAUUUGAUAGCCUUUAAUUAAUCCUUUUUAACACUUUUGAGUAGUAGUUUAGGCCUUUUAACUCAAUUGGCAUGUUAAGGAUCCUUUAAAGCAAUUUUGAUCACUUUGUGCAAGUUUUGGUGUUUUUGUUAGUAUUUUGAUCACCAAAGCAAGUCAAGAAUGAGGAGAACUAUGAGGAAUCAUGGGCAAAGCUUAGAAUUCAAUUGCCAAGAGUGAAUCCGGAUUGCAAGGAGAAAAAGCAAAGAGAAUCUGUCAUGAAGCCUAUUCUUGAUGACAGUCGUAGCAGCCACUUUUGGAGCACUUUCUGAAGUCCAAAUGAUGCAAGCUAUAUACCAUUUCAAAGCUCAGGAAGUCAACAAUCCAAUGCUUCAAACGGUGCGCGAUUCGGAGUUGAAACGAAGAAGUUGCAGCCAUUACAAGCCAGUCACUCUAAAGUGUUGCGGAAUCAGCCUUUUGUUGCGAGAAUUUCGCAGCACUUUUGUACAGUAAGGUGUUUCUCCUUCUGACGAUGCACGAACCAUGCCGCGAGAGGGAAGCUAGGAACUUCAAGAUGGAAGCCAACUUUGCAGCCUGGUGAAGAUAGCUUGGUCUUGCGAAAUAAUUUCGCAGCCCUCUUGGGUGUCUGCGAAAUUUCGCAGGCACCACUUUUUUCCUGCGAAAUGGCUCCGGAAGCCUCCCGAAGCUUGCUACCGACAUUGGGAGAUAUUUUCCAUUAGAUUUUUGUUGUCUAAAUUCCAAAAUACUCCUUGUAAACCACCAAUUACAUGAUUCCUUAGUUUUUAAGUUAGUAAAAAGACCAAAUAUCUAUGUAAUAAUUAGUUUUAUAUUAGUUUGCUAUAAAUACCUCUCGGGAGCAUGUUCUCAGAGAGGAGUUCCUUCUGUAACCAUUUUGGUAAGCAAGUAAAGUCUUUUCUUUCUACUGCCUUACCUUCUCACUUUGUAUUUUCAUUUUAUUUCUAAGUUAUGAAUUCUCUGAGGAGCUUUCCCCAGAGAAUGAGUAACUAAACCUCCAAUUCCUUGGAGCUAAGGUUGCCGGGGAAGGUUCCAAGUGCAAGAAUGCAAAGCUCUGUGGUUUUAGCUAGUAAUGAAGAGGAAGUGAAAUCCUUUAGUGAUUUCAAUGUUUUUAGUUAACUUAAAACACCUUGGAGUCACCUGGGCCAACACUUGGUAAGGCAAGUGAUUUCCAACCGUGGAAAUGCACUAGUUUACCCCUUGCGAGCCUCUGGUAGGUGACUUCAAGGUAGGAUUUUCUGGAAUUACCAACACUUGGUAAGCUUUUGGACUCCUAGGAGACAUCCAUUAGUUAUCUCUUGCGAGUUUGUGAAGGGGAAUCCAAGGUUAAAGAUCACCUUGAAUGGUAAGUGCUCGUGAGAGGCAUGAACCAUUGCAAGUUGUAUCAGUGAGAGAAUUAAAGUGAAAUCUAAUUGAAGGAGUCUCUGUACAUCACCGGUUAGAGAAUUGACUAUAAGUUGAAUCUCUAAUGCGAGGAAAUGAACCAUCUGACCGGAGCUAUGUCUUUUGCAUGAGGAACCACCCCAGUGAACCUAAAUCUCCAAGGAAUGCUUUUCUUCCUAAAUUAUUCCAAACUUCUGUUAAGUUAGUUAGUUUAAGUCUAAACCUUUACCAAUCAAACUUUGUGUUUUAUUCCUUAAGCUAACCGUGAAAUGAAACAAAACCAAUUCACUUGGAAUUGGUAUCCUUGAUUGCUUGCAAAUCAUUCCCAGUGAACGAUCCUUAGAGCCACUAUACUAUAGUAGCUUUGUAUUUGCUACCCUAGUGUAUGGUGUUAUAGGUAUAAAUUUUGUUGAUCACUUCCUCAAUCAAGGAACACCAGCUGAACACAAAUCAGCUGAGACACCAAUUGGGCAUGAGUCAGUGCGUUAGAGGAUCAAGAAGAAGAAAAAGAAGGAACUGUUGGAAUUAGUAUGAGUGUGAAGAGAAAAGUAUAUAAAUAAGGGGAAGUAAAAGCAAAGUUCAAAAAGCUAUAUUUUUUUAUUGUUGGUGUAUGGUUGCAUGAUUAUCCCUAUAAAUAAUAGGAGUUUUUUGGUAUUCUACUAGUAGUUGAAGCAUAAUUUCAUAAAUUAAUAUUUAGAGCGGGGUGGGGUGAGUUGUGACAAAAUUCAUACCCGUCCCAAACCUUGGUUCAGAUUUUUAAAAUAUUCUCAAACUUAUCAUAUACCCAACUUUUAUAUUUCAUACUUGUCCUAAUAGAGGCACGUUAGGCCGGGUUACUUGAGUAACCUACAUAAUUGUCAUCCCUAGUUGAAAUACACUUUUUGGCAGUGGCCACCAACUGAGCUAGAAGCUUGAUUGAUUGACCUACAAGAUUAGUUCUCAUCAUUUUAAAAAAAGUUCUGGCUUUGGUUGUGAGUGCAAUUGAAUCUAAACUGGCAUUUGCUUAAUGCAUCUACUUCAAUCCUAAACUUCUUACUUCUUAAGCCUCAAUUGUUGUUAGGAUUUUGGAAAACCCAUUUCCUUAAAUUGUAAAUUUAAGAUAAAAUAAAAUAAAAGUGAGACAUUUCUUGAUUGAAUAUUGUUAAAGGUCCCUUGGCAUUAAGACUUGGUUGAAGCCUUGGAAGAUUAGUGGAACUCUCAACAUGUGUUUGAAUCUUGAGGAGAGUGGAUGUAAGCCAAAAUUUUGUCAAACCAUUAUACAAAUUGAGUUUGAAUCCUCAUUUCUUGAUUUCUUAUUUAUUUGCUUUUUCUUAUUAUUACUUGAAUUGUCAUUUGCAUUCAUUAAUGUUAAAAUUGGUUAUAAUUAACCAACACUAAUUCUCUUUCCCCUUCCCUUUCUUGGGUGUAAACCUAGGUUGGAUUAACUAGAUAAAUCUAUUAAGAUGGUAAAAGAAUAAUUAUUCUUAACAUACAUAAGAUCAUCUUCAAUCAAAUGACUCAUUGGCUAAUAUGUUGAAUUUGCUUAUUACUUGCAACUCAAAAUUGUGUUCUAGUUGUGUCAAGUCCCCAGUGUAUGGACAUUAAAUUUGUAGUACGUGAUGAGUAAUUAGAUGGUCCAACUCCAAGAAAGUGAUUGAAAAGUAGUUCAAGAAAGGUGCAAAAGGGAAUUGUUUUGGUAUUUUCGUUUUUAUUCUUGAAGGUGGCAGAGCUAAAAUUUGAGAAAUCAAGCAAAACAUACUGAAAUUACAUUGAAAGAAAGAAGAUGGGAGUUAAUGUCUUGCAGUACAUGAUAAGGACUUCAUGCAUGUAGUGUGACCCAUGUCUUGGACUGAUGCCAACUCACGGUUACACUUAUACCCUUGGUUCUCUCUUUACUACCUUGGCUAACCUAGAUCAGGCUAUGAGAUAGGCUCCUCACCACACCAUUACUUGCCCAUUAAUUAGAGACAUUUUCAAGCAAUGAGGUAACAUGGUGACACCAAGAGGGUCUAUUCCUCGCCCGGAACAAGUCUAGACUUGGUCUCAAAAAAAUGGAGAAAAAUGAGGUGUCGUUAUGUAGAAAUACAACAACCAUGCCUUCCUCAUUACUUAGAUUCAGAAUGUGAAGGUGAAAUUGAGAAACAGAAACUCUUGAAACCAAAAUGAAAAUUGAUACUUUUACGAAGAAUUACAACAACAUUAGAGGAAGACUACAUUCUUCCUCUUUAUUCCUACAUUUCUACACUACUUCUACUCCACUCCAUAUUUCUACAUACAUCUUUAAUCAGUCUUCCCUCCUUUAUAUAGAGCCAUCUUCACACAAAUUUCGCAAGGUAGAAAAGAGGAAUGAAACUUGGAGCAAGGUUCGACUACUGGUUGUAGCUUGUCAAGGCUGGAAGUGAACUUUUCUUGGCUUUCUGGGCAUGGGUAGUAACUUGUGGGUUCCUGUUUGGCAUAAAAAUGGCUAGAACAUGUGGCACUAUCUUGUUGGAUGAUGUGUCAAGCAUGUGGCAGCCAUCUAGUGGCGAUUAUGUCAAUUUUGGGAUGGAGAGUUGGCAUCCAAUUGCAAAGAAAUAUGACGUCUACCAACAUGCAAUGUAAACCUAUGUAGAUCAUAUGAAGAUAGAGAGGAAAAAUAUAGAAAUGGAUAUAUACCUAGAACUAGCUUUUUAUUAAAUGAAACGGAGAGACAACAAUGAAGGAAAAUAAAAUUUUUUGGCUUAUAUCAAAGAGUUCACAUUGUGUUACCCUAGGUUUUCUUAAAACUUACUUUUAUGAUAACAAAAAAGAAAAAACCAUUAUUGUUUAAUCCUUUGUUUUAAACGCAUGUAAGGUGUAAUUAAGUUAGUUCAAUGCAUUAAUUUAAGAAACUUGACCUAUCAAAAGUACAAAAUUAGAUGAAAUCCAUUUCAAUGGUUAAAAUGAUCAAAAUCAAACUUUUUCUAAGUAUUUUUUAAAAGCAUCAAUAGUGAAAGACAAUUUUAUAUUUAGUCGGAGUUUGGACAAAACUGAAAAACACACAAAAUCCAAGCGACCAUCUCUAGCUUGGAUGGUCGCUUGAUCCCACCUAGAGAUGUGCAUGAGUAAAAGGAUUUGAAAAUGGAAAUUGACUAUGUAGUCGAUCAAUUAACUUUGCAACAUCAUAUGCAAUCCUAAUUGCUAGUCAUCUAAUCAAUUAGGUAGUCAAUCAACAGGCCAAAAAUAUGUUUAUAAUGACUAUUUUGUACAAAAACCACCUGUAUAGUUAAAUAUAAUGCAUUUCAUUUAUAAAUCUUCUAAUUCUUGAAUAACGAUCCUAUCAUCCUUUGAAAGUUUUUAUUACACUUUUUUUACUUUUGUUCUAAAACUUACACAUCACCCUUAAUUGUACCAUGAGAACCUAGCUAUUUUUUAUUUUUUUUUUUGUAAUUCAUCAAAGUUAGCUUUUGUAUUCAUUGUUGUAUUAUUUUUAGUAUAACUUAGAAAGCUAGUGUUUUCAAGUGAGUAAAAUUAACUUGUAAAUAUUGUAAAGAUUCAUCGACAUGUAUCUUAAACUAAGUGUACAAGUUAAAACAUUUGCUAGUAGAUUUUCUCAAAAUUUAGAAUAGAGCUUGAGACUAUUGAAAUAGGUGGGGUUGCACCAAACCACAUCACAUCGUUGUUUGCACCUUUUUUCACUCUCUUUUACUUAGUUGCUCUAUAUUUGUUGUCUAGUAAUAUCCUAUAGGCUUGAUGGGUUAGGGAGCAUCCCUUUGUGAAAAAAUUUUAUUCAAUCCUUAGUUGUAUCACGCAUAUAUAAAAUGCCUCAUUGUUUUAAUGGUAUUCAGUCGUGGCAUCACAGAUAUGGGCAUCUAAAUUUUAAAAGUUUGAAACUUUUAUCUAAAGAAAAUAUGGUGCUUUGCCUUUUUGUAAAGCAUGUUGAUGAAAUCCAUGAGAAUUGUGUACUUGGGAAGCAACACCGAGAUGACUUUUUUUUUUUUUUUAUAAUAUUGUUUGUCCAAAUUCCCUACAAAUUAGGCCACCAGAUGUUCAUAAUUCUCCCUUCUUGAAUUUGAAAACUCGGACAAUUGGACAAUGCGACACCUAAGUCCGGUUUCUAAAUGCUAAAGUGAAAGGGUAGGUAUGGACCAUUGAAAUGUGAUCACAACUUUUCUCUGUAGCCAUGUUGUCUCUUUUUUCUUUUGCAUGAUUUUCUUACCUUAACAGAAUCAUAGACUUGUUUAGUCUCUAAAUGGGAUUAAUUUCAUCCAGCUUUAAGCUACUAUAUUAUAUCUAGGUGGAGGACUUUUAAGAGUGCAACCGACAUAGAGCACAUGGAAGUGGGUAUAUGGGACAUGAAAUUUCUUCUUAUAAAGAUUGCAUGAUUUUUAUAUUAGAGUUGUUGAGGCGCUAUGUAUUUAGCUUGUUUUGCAGUUAAAUUAAUUGGAUAAGUAGACAUUGGCGUUUCUAAAUCUACUGUGAAGUGCUUCAUGUACGUGUGAAGUAUUAGAAAUUUCUUUCUUGGCAACUUGUUUUUCUUUGCGGUCUACUGAUAGGUUUGACUAAAAUUAUAUUCCCUGUCAUGCUAAUUAAUUUUCACGUGCAUGCUCAAAAGAAAAGUAUGACCUUAGUGCACCAAAAUCACUUUGAUUAAUUUGUGAUAGGUUUUUGUGCAUCAUGACAUUAGCCUUAUUCAUUUAGAUAAUGUUUAGUUUUUAGAAAGUAUUAAGAAAAGGAAAAUAAAUAUUAAGAAAAAUAUUCUUAUAUUUGAUUGUAUUAUGAAAAAUAUCAUAAAAAAAUCAAAUAUAAUUUAAAUUAAUUAAUAAUUUAUACAUUUUCAAAUUAUUUAAUCUUUAUAUUGAAGAUAUAAUAUAAAUGAAAUGAGUUUUAAGUAUUAUAUAAAAGUGAUUUAUUGAUCUUACAUAUAUAUAUUUCUUUUUUUUUUCCUUCUAUUUUUUCUCUUUAUUUUAUUUUCCUUAUGUUUUCCUCAACAUUUUCCGGAACCAAACAUAGCCUUAGGAAAUCCACAAUUACCUUCAACUGAGUAGAUUCUGUUGUUUUAGCAAUGUUAGGCUGCUAACUUGUGUUGGUACGAACCUAUUAAGCCUAAAGAUGUAAUUAGUUAGGAUAUUCUUUUCCCUCUAGUCUUGUAGCUCCACGUGUACAGUUGGUUAGGACCUCAUUGUAUAUAAUGCUUGCCCUGUUAUUGUAGAAGACAACAAAGAUAAAUAAUAUUAACAUUUUUCCUCUCAUCUCUCUCUGUUUCCCUCUGUUUUCAUCUCCUCUCUCAUCUUGGUAUCAGAGCCUCCAUGGCUUCUUUCAAAGAAACCUCCGAAUCACCUUCUGCUAGCAUUGUUAAUGUGCAAAACCCAUUAUCUCAAUCAAACAACCUUCCUUCACCAGUAGCCACACCCUCUUUUUCUUUCUCGUCUAUGAAUCAACCUCUCACAGUGAAGCUGGAUAAUGGGAACUACCUCAUAUGGAAGAAUUAGCUUCUAAAUGUCAUCAUUGCUAACGGACUCGAUGAUUUCAUUGACGGAUCUCGACCCUGCCCUCCUCGAUUUCUCGAUCUGCAACAACAAACCCUCAAUCCAGAGUACUCAGCUUGGCAGAGAUACAAUCGACUUCUGAUGAGUUGGCUGUACGCAUCCUUGUCCAAAGAUAUAAUGGCUCAGAUUGUUGGGUAUUCAACAGCUAUGGAGAUUUGGAAUGCCCUUAAUCAGAUUUACUCUGCCUCUUCUAUGGCGCGGUUUACUGAGCUUCGCACCAAGCUUCAAACGCUCAAGAAAGAUGGACUCUCAGUUGGUGAAUAUAUUCAAAGGCUCAAAUCCAUUUGCAAUAGUCUUGCAGCAAUAGGAGAACCAGUUUCUGAGAAAGACCAUCUUAUCUAUUUGUUCAAUGGAUUAGAUUGUGAGUAUUAUUCUUUUGUUACCUCCAUUCAAAAUCGAUCUGACCAACCAACUAUUGACAAAAUCCAUAGCCUAUUGCUUAGCUAUGACUUCCGGCUUGAACAACAAAACUCUGUUUCUCUCCAUUCUGCCCAAGUCCAUAUGGCUCAUCUGAACAAGAAACCUUAUAAAUCAACUCCUCAACCUACAUUCAAUCAUAUUCACAUUCAACCUAGAUACUCUUCUCCACCUUUUAAGCCAACCACUAGUCAAUAUCAACCCAACAUUUUGGGCAAACCACAACCACAACCAUGACAGCCUCAACCUCAAUGGAAACCACAUUUUUCAAUCUAAAAUCAAAAGCCUCAGCGCCAAAUUUGUGGUAAAUUUGGACACACUGCUCUUAUUUGCUUCCAUCACACAAAUUUGAACUAUUCACCCCAACCUUCUCCUAAAUCUUUCAAUACUGUUCUCACCACAAAUUCCCAGCUCCCUAAUCCUCCAAAAUUUUCUUACCCUACAAUGGCUCAUCCUGCUGCUACGCAUAACACGGUUCCCGAUACAAAUUGGUACAUGGACUCAGGUGCUACACAUCACUUUACUCUGGACAUCAACGUGCUUGACACUGUGACACCAUUUAGUGGUUCAGAACAGGUGACAGUUGGGAAUGGUAAGCAACUCUGUAUCUCACAUCUUGGUACUGCAAAACUACCAUCUUCGUAUUCUCCUCCUGUUCUACAUCAGGUAUAUCACACUCCAAAAAUUUCAAAUAAUCUUAUUAGUGUUAAAAAAUUGUGUUCUGAUAAUAAAGUUUUUGUUGAAUUUUAUGCCACUCAUUUUCUUGUCAAGGAUCAGGUUUCGAAGAGAGUUCUCCUUUAGGGUCAACUUGAUAAUGGCUUAUACAAAGUUCAGUCGUCAUGCUCUCCUUCUGCUGUUUCCUUUCCUCCUCAAGUUUUCAUAGCCAACAUCAAGUAUCCAAAUCUGUGGCACAAGAGACUAGGCCACCCAGCUUUAUCUGUUGUUAAUCAAAUCUUGGAUUCUUGUAACAUUGCUCGAACACAGAAAAUUUGUUUUAAUUUUUUAAAUUCUUGUCAAUUAGCAAAGAGCCACAGGCUUCCUUUUUCUCUGUCUCCAUCCAUUGCAGAAAAACCUUUUGAGUUAAUUCAUACAGACCUAUGGGGUCUUUCGCUCGUUCGCUCUAUUUCUGGUGCUCUUUAUUUUUUACUUUUCAUUGAUGAUCAUACUCGUUUUACUUGGUUUUAUUUGCUCAAAACAAAAGAUGAAGCAUAUCCUACUUUUCUCAAGUUUCAAGCUCUCAUUGAAAAUCAAUUUAAUACCAAGAUUAAGGCUGUCCAAUCUGAUUGGGGAGGUGAGUUUCGAUCUCUCUCCAUACCGUUUUCAAAUAUGGGCAUUGUCUAUUGUUUAUCGUGUCCAUACACCUCACAACAGAAUGGGCGAGUUGAGCGAAAAAAUCGCCAUGCGAUUGUCCUUUCUUGCUUGCUCUAUGCCCUUAUCUUAUUGGCCUUAUGCCUUUCAAACUGCCACUUACCUUAUUAAUCGUCUCUCUACCCCUGUGCUGCAUCAUCAAUCCUCUUACUUCGCACUCUAUCACAAACUCCCAACUUAUACUCAUCUUAAGGUCUUUGGUUCCUCUUGUUUUCCGUAUUUGCACCCUUAUAAUACCCAUAAACUCCAAUACAGGUCACUAGAGUGUGCUUUUCUUGGUUACAGUUCACACCACAAAGGUUAUCUAUGUCUUGACAUUCAUUCUAGCAGGGUGUAUAUUUCUCGCCAUGUGAUUUUUAAUGAAGAUUCUUUUCCAUUCAAGAAUUUGAAAUCUUCUCUCUCUCAGUCUAUUUCUUCUUCCUCUUCUUUAUAAGUUCCUCUGUUCAUUCUCUUGCCUCCCCUUUCCCCAUCUCCUCUUAUUUCUUCAUCUAUACCUCAUUCUUUUCCCUCUUCUUCUUCUACCUCUAGUACUUGUUCCCCUCUCGUUGCUCCUACCUCUCUUCCUUCCUCUUCACACUCUGUGUCUCCAUCUAUUCCACCUCCUUCUCCACCUUCUCCGAGUGUGGACCUGCUUGCACCUUGUGUGAAUACAAAUUUACAUACUUCUUCUCGCACUCACAAUAUUCAUCCUAUGGUGACUAGAUCUAAGGUUUGUAUCUAUAAACCUAAGUUGUUGUUGAGUGUCUCCAUAGGUUCUCUCACUAAGCCUACUUCCUUUCUUCAAGCUAUUAAAGAUCCUUCAUGGAAGCAAUCCAUGGAAUUCGAGUUUGCUACCCUUCAACACAACAAGACCUGGCAUUUGGUUCCUUCACCUUCCUCAGGCGAAGUAAUCGGUUGUAAAUGGGUCUAUAAGCUAAAGCUUCAGCCUGAUGGCUAAAUUGAGAGAUACAGCCUGCUUAGUAGCUAAGGGUAUCAUCAAAUUGAAGUAUGGACUACUUCGAAACAUUCAGCCUGAUNNNNNNNNNNNNNNNNNNNNNNNNNNNNNNNNNNNNNNNNNNNNNNNNNNNNNNNNNNNNNNNNNNNNNNNNNNNNNNNNNNNNNNNNNNNNNNNNNNNNAGCUUCAGCCUGAUGGCUAAAUUGAGAGAUACAAGGCCUGCUUAGUAGCUAAGGGUUAUCAUCAAAUUGAAGGUAUUGACUACUUCGAAACAUUCAGCCUGAUUGUCAAGCUUUCUACUAUCUGUAUUGUGCUCAGUCUUACUUUUUCCCAGAAUUGGUGUAUUAGACAGCUGGAUGUUCAUAAUGCCUUCUUACAUGGUGACUUAGCUAAAGACGUUUUCAUGGAACAACUGCCUGGAUUUGUUGAUCCUCUCUAUCCUACUCAUGUCUGCAAGUUGGAUAAGUCUCUCUACUGUCUUAAAUAGUCACCUCGGGCUUGGUAUACUAAGCUGAGUACUUCUCGCUACACUUGGGAUUUGUUACUUCUAAGAAUGACUCUUCCUUAUUUAUUUGUCAUUCGUCUCAUGGGUUACUUCUUGUUCUUGUCUAUGUGGAUGAUAUAAUCGUCAUUGGGAGCCACUCUCCUCAGGUUACUCACCUUAUCCAACAGUUGCAUCAUUAGCUUUCUUUAAAGGAUCUUGGUCCUUUACAUUAUUUUCUGGGCUUGGAGGUUCAUCACACCCCUACUGGUAUUCACCUCAGCCAAGCAAAGUAUAUCACUGAUCUCCUUACCCGGGCGGCUAUGUUGGAUGCCAAGCCAUGUCCCACUCCUAUGUCCUCCAACACAUAUCUCUCUUUUCAUGAUGGAGUGGCUCUUGAAAAUGGUUCAGAUUAUCGAAGUUUUGUUGGUGCCCUUUAGUAUUGUACCAUGACACGCCCAGAUAUAGCUUUUGCAAUAAAUAAAGUGUGUCAAUUCAUGCACCAUCCCUCUAAUGUUCACUGGCAGGCUAUAAAACGUAUUCUCCGGUACUUAAAGGGCACAUCUCAUUUUGGUCUCUUCCUACAGCCUUCCUAUGACUUCAACAUCACUUGCUAUACAAAUGCCGACUGGGCUUCCUGUCCUGAUGACAAGUGUAGCACCAGUGGCUACUGCCUCUUUCUUGCCUCUAAUCUGGUUUCUUGGUCAUCUUCCAAACAAAAAGUGGUCUCCCGCUCCAGCGCCGAAUCAGAGUACCGAGGGGUAGCAAAUGGGGCUGCUGAAAUUGCUUGGACUGAAUCUCUUCUUUGUGAACUUUCCAUUACUCCCCCUCCCCUCAUUCUCUGUGACAAUAUCAGUGCCACGUACUUAGCUGCCAAUCCUAUUUUGCAUGCCCGCACCAAACAUGUGGAAAUCGACUAUCACUUUGUCACGGAACGUGUUCUUCAAUGCUCUCUUUUUGUCCAGUUUACACCUUCUGAUGAUCAACUUGCUGAUUGCAUGACCAAGCCUCUCUCCACCCAACGUUUCAUCACUCUACGCUCCAAGCUCACUGUUCUCACUAGACCAAUGAGCUUGAGGGGGGAUGUUAAGCCUAAAGAUGUAAUUAGUUAGGAUAUUCUUUUCCCUCUAGUCUUGUAGCUCCACGUGUACAGUUGGUUAGGACCUCAUUGUAUAUAAUGCCUGCCCUGUUAUUGUAGAAGACAACAGAGAUAAAUAAUAUUAACAUUUUUCCUCUCAUCUCUCUCUCUGUUUCCCUCUGUUUUCAUCUCCUCUCUCAUCUGAACCAAAUGAUCCAUGUUAACCUUGGCUUGGUUUGAUUUGGCUCUAUCUUAGAGAGCUCAAGGAUCACGUCAACUCUGGUUUCUACUAUUCAGGUCCAUUCCCAUAUGAACUGGUUCAAAUUUGAGAAAAUGGUAACAGACCUUUAGUGAUGUUGGUUUGGAGCCAGUUGCCAAACCCGCCCUGAGCUUUACCACUAAUGUCAAGGGAGAAAGCCAUUUGAACAAAAACAAUAGCUUCAAGGGACUGAAUCGUGGAUGAAAUCUGAUCCACAUUUCUUCUCAUUUUGGAAACAAAUGAGAACUUAACUAAGAAGAUUCUACGGCCUCAUAGUGCUUUUCCUGAUCUAAGGUUGGUUCGUUUCCCAAACUGUGAGAUGCACGUGCCAGACUUCAGAACUCUCACGCUCAGGAGUGUAUCCACGUGGUGGACAUAAGAUGGUGGCUUAAGAUCUGGUGUCGGUGGCUUUACUUUACUAGGAGAGUAGUGUGUCUUCAUCUCAUUCACUGCCGGAGGGUGGCGUAAGCAGUGACGCUAAGGUGGGGCACAGUCAAUAUCAUUUGCAUUUGACCAUUAUAGUUUUCUCCCGGCUUUAAAGUAACCUUAUCGUGAUAAAGGAUUACUAGCACUAGUUCAGAUGAUAGUCAUGUUAAAUUCGGACCAUGUUUGUGUCACAUUAUCAGCAACCAUGUGUUUAUGGUUCAUGCUUUCUGCAACUAAAAUUGAUAUAUAACCAGGUGAACUUCAAUCUAAAUUCUGAAAGUACUCAUGUGAUAGAUGGUGCCCGUCUGCAGAGUCCAUCAAUUGAAAAAUGGAGUGAGUGUAUCUAUAAGAGGGAAGGCUUGGAAAAUGUUCAGUUUUCUGGGAAUUCAACAAGGAUCUAAAAUAGAUUGUUUUCUUUGCUGAUUUCAAUGGUUGAAAUUUGAGAAGAUUGUGUCCACAUAACACAACUAUUACUGGUCCUUCUGUUGCAAUUUAUCCUCUAAAGCUCUAGCAUGUCUUCCAAUUCCCACUUCCCUGUUACUCCAGGAAAGCUAUUUCUGUCAUUGUGAAGAAGAAAAGAGAAUGUACAUAUCGAUGCUUUUAAGUGACUGGAGCAUUUAUAUCAGGUGGUCUGCAGCCAUAUAUGCCACUUUGUGAAGAUUGGAACAGUCAAUCACUAGGCUAUAUAUUAGUGUGGCCCAGCCACUUUAAUCAAGGACAAGUCUUCAUACUUAAAGUCAAAUUCUGCCUUUAGUCUCAUUAUAAAUUUCUGUUUAAAUAUUAAGCAAACAUUUGUUUAAUGCGAUUAAGACAGUACUAACUCAAUACCUGUUCUAUUUUUGGAUGCAAAUGCUUGAUGGUUUCAUCAUUGGAUGGGAUAAAGGUGCAUUCAUGAUUAGGAAUACUAGUAGUUAUAUUUUAAUUCUCUUUUUUCUCAAUGAGACUUGUUGGCACAAUUUUGCUGUUGAGAAACCUACCUCUCCAUGGAAAAUAAGUUGUGAUUGAUAGUACUGGAUAUAUUCAAGAAAUCUAAAUAUAGAUAGCACAAAAUAUUAUCGACAUAAAUAGCAUUAACAGCGUACGUAUGUCUCAGUGCUCAUCAGCUAUAAGCAUGGGGCAAACACUUACUAUGAGCAACUUACGUCAAAAUUCCAGAAUAGGACAUAGAAGUGACAGAUAUAGAACAUUGCAUAUGAGUCACAAGAAAGGAAAUUACGGGUGCAUAGCAGCUCUUAUUUUACAUACUACUACUCAUACUGAUCAAAGUCACUCAGUUGGGAUGGGUGGGAGUAGGAGGUUUGUGGGGUGGCUUGUGCGGAGGAGUUGGCAGCUUCUUUCCAGGACCUGGUUGCUUCUCUGCUGGAGUUGAAGGAGGCUUAAUCUUCCGAGGUGGCUUGUAUGAGUCUUCAGCAUUCUCAGCUGGAGGGUGACCAGGGUUGUGACCAUAAUGUGGUGGCUUCUCUCCCUUAGGUGGUUUGCCAACUGGGGUUGGUGGCUUGUAUGAGUCUUCAGCAUUCUCAGCAGGAGGGUGACCAGGGUUGUGACCAUAAUGUGGUGGCUUCUCUCCCUUAGGUGGUUUGCCAACUGGGGUUGGUGGCUUGUGUUCUGGGAGUGGCUUCUCCCCCUUGGGAGGUUUUUCCAAUGGGGUUGGUUUGUGUUCAGGAGGUGGCUUCUCCACUGGAGGCUUGUGUUCAGGAGGUGGCUUCUCCACCGGAGGCUUGUGUUCAGGUGGUGGCUUCUCCACCGGAGGCUUAUGCUCUGGUGGUGGCUUCUCGAAUGGGGGAUGCUUAGGAUAAUCAGCAAGUGAGGGGGCGGUGAGAACCACCAGGCCAAGCAACACCACUAGCAAAUAUGUAGGAGACAUCUUUGGGUUUGGGCUCAGAUGGUGCAAAACUAGGAGAAUUGGCUAGCCUUUUAUAGCGGAUCGUACCCAAUAAUGAAAUGACACGUGUCAUUAUGACCCAUGUGUAAUGGGGUCGAUUUGGGUCCUACAGUGUUGAAAACUUCGACAUCCACUUUUGGCCUUUUGCUUUCUCUACAGCCGCCUUGCUUUUUCCCUCUUUCCUUUUGUUUUCCUCCUGCCCCAUUCUAUCAACUAAACACAAUUAUGUAGUUGUUUAAUUCUUAAAUGAGAUAUUAUCCGUCAAUCGUAUUAUAUUUUAUCAAGAGAGAACGGAGUGCAAUGUGGCUGUAAUUUUAUCGUUUAGUUUUAUCUCUUGGACCACUGCAUUUUUGUUAAGAGGUGCAAUAAUACACGUCUUUAUCUGCCAUUCAAUAUUUACAGUAAAGAGAGGGCACAAAACUCUUCACUUCGCACCAUAAUUAUUUUGUUUUCUGGACACCCCGGGGCCCUUUGGUUGGUUUGGGGGUCAGAAAGUGAACAUCAUAGGGGGUUUUUCCCUUAUGUGCAUUUGUAUCUGAUGGCUUUAACUCGCCUUGUUACUACAAAGAAACUGUCACAGAUAGGAACUUAUUCCAGGCUGAGUAUCUCCUCAUAGACCCUAUAAAAGAAGACAAGUCAUAAUGAACAUCUAACCUUUGUUCAAUUUGAUUCAAUGCCCCCAUUGUGUCCAUCUCACAAAUCUGAAUUAUUAUAUCCAUUGAAUACAUAAAUUAAUGAAGAAAAUAUGAAACCCAAGAUACAUCUCUGCACAACCUCAACCCUGGUUGCUAUGUUUCCCUUCUAUUCACAUGAUUUGAUGCUAAUUGCCAAACUUGCAACAAGCCCUGAGUUUGACACCUAGUAUCGAUGGGCGAAUUUAAAGUCUCCUCCAAACAUAUAUUCCACAGCUUGAAGCUCACAGAAGAUGUUACAGGCAGGGAAAAACCUUCAGAGUUCGCUACCAAAGAUAAUUAUUAAGGAGAUAUCACAAAGAGAAUUCCAAGGGGUCUGAAUCAAAGACAAAUUGGUCGUUCGUGGGGGUUCUUACUUUCUUUUGGGUAUAACUCACUGAGGGCACUGUCUUUGUUAUUUGCAUUUCACAUUUAGAGUUCUGUUCUGGAAACAUAUAAAAGGAGCAUCAUUUUGUUCUUGGGUAACCCAUAGUCGUGAGUGGGUCCAUUUGCAUGCUACUUAGUUGAAAAGUUGGACCAUUUGCUCCGACGCCUACCUCCCGGAUUCCAUGCUCGGAUAAAACAAGAAUAAAAAAAAUAUUUAUAAUUUACAAAUGGGGGAAAGAAAAAAAUGUCAACAACAAACCAGGAAAAAAGAGUAGUAAAAUUCAUGUCACAUGCUAGUGAGAGAAGGGGUUGUUACACUCACUCGAAGUUCUUUCCAAAAUAUCGCAUGGUAUUUUAUUUUAUGUGUCAGCGCAGUUGUGAAUGGAACGUGCAAAAGUCCAAAUUGGCGUUUUUCCUUUUCCCGUGUAGGAUGGCGACCUUUAAUAAAUAUUUAAAACAAAAAACGAAAAAAAGGAGGGAAAAGGGAUCAGAAAAGAUAAAACAAUGUGUACAAGAGCUCAAUUAGUUUGCAAAUUACUGUUUGGAUUUUGAUAGUAUUUUAUUUGUCCAUCUAUAUUUGAUGGAAAAGAGAAUUUAAGAUAUUUCUGAAACAAAAGCAUUAGUGUAAAACUAAAUUAAGGUAUAAUUAAGUUAGUUCAAUGCAUUAAUUUAAGAAACUUGAUCUAUCCAAAGUACAAAAUUAGAUGAAAUCCAUUUCAAUGGUUAAAAUGAUCAAAAUCAAACUUUUUCUAAGUAUUUUUUAAAAGCAUCAAUAUUAAAAGACAAUUUUAUAUUUAGUCGGAGUUUGGACAAAACCAAAAAGCACACAAAAUCCAAGCGACCAUCUCUAGCUUGGAUAGUCACUUGAUCCCACCUAGAGAUGUGCAUGAGUAAAAGGAUUUGAAAAUGGAAAUUGACUAAAUAUUUAGUUGAUCAAUUAAAUUUGCAAUGUCAUAUGCAAUCCUAAUAGCUAGUCAUCUAAUCAAUUAGGUAGUCAAUCAAGUGUUUGUAAUGACUAUUUUGUACAAAAAACCACAUGUAUAGUUAAAUAUAAUGCAUUUCAUUUAUAAAUCUUCUAAUUCUUGAAUAACGAUCCUAUCAUCCUUUGAAAAUUUUUAUUACACCUUUUUUACUUUUGUUCUAAAACUUACAUAUCACCCUUAAUUGUACCAUGAGAACCUAGCUAUUUUUUUUUUUUUUGUAAUUCAUCAAAGUUAGCUUUUGUAUUCAUUGUUGUAUUAUUUUUAGUAUAACUUAGAAAGCUAGUGUUUUCAAGUGAGUAAAAUUAACUUGUAAAUAUUGUAAAGAUUCAUUGAUAUGUAUCUUAAACUAAGUGUACAAAUUAAAACAUUUGCUAGUAGAUUUUCUCAAAAUUUAGAAUAGAGCUUGAGGCUAUUGAAAUAGGUGGGGUUACACCAAACCACAUCACAUCGUUGUUUGCACCUUUUUUCACUCUCUUUUACUUAGUUUCUCUAUAUUUGUUGUCUAGUAAUAUCCUAUAGGCUUGAUGGGUUAGGGAGCAUCCCUUUGUGAAAAAAUUUCAUUCAAUUCUUAGUUGUAUUACGCAUAUAUAAAAUGCCUCAUUGUUUUAAUGGUAUUCAGUCGUGGCAUCACAGAUAUGGGCAUCUAAAUUUUAAAAGUUUGAAACUUUUGUAAAGCAUGUUGAUAAAAUCCAUGAGAGUUGUGUACUUGGGAAGCAACAUCGAGGUGACUUUAUUUUUUUUUCCUUUUAUAAUGCCACACCUAAGUCCGGUUUCUAAAUGCUAAAGUGAAAGGGUAGGUAUGGACCAUUGAAAUGUGAUCACAACUUUUGGCCUUUUCCUUUCUCUGCAGCCAUGUUGUCUCUUUUUUCUUUUGCAUGAUUUUCUUACCAAAACAGAAUCAUAGACUUGUUUAGUCUCUAAGCUACUAUAUUAUAUCUCGGUGGACUUUUAAGAGUGCAACCGACAUAGAGCACAUGCAAGUGGGCAUAUGGGACAUGAAAUUUCUUCUUACAAAGAUUGCAUGAUUUUUAUAUUAGAGUUGUUCACGUGCAAUGUAUUUAGCUUGUUUUGCAGUUAAAUUAAUUGGAUAAGUAAACAUUGGCAUUUCUAAAUCGACUGUGAAGUGCUUCAUGUACGUGUAAAGUAUUAGAAAUUUCUUUCUUGGCAACUUGUUUUUUCCUUGCCAUCUACUGGUAGGUUUGACUAAAAUUAUAUUCCCUGUCAUGCUAAUUAAUUUUCAUGUGCAUGCUCAAAAGAAGAGUAUGACCUUAGUGCACCAAAAUCACUUUGAUUAAUUUGUGAUAGGUUUUUUUGCAUCAUUUAGAUAAUGUUUAGUUCUAAGAAAAAUUUAUAUAAAAAUGGUUUAUUUAUCUUACAUAUAUAUAUAUAUAUAUAUAUUUUUUUUUUUUUCAUUUUUUUUUCUUCUAUUUUAUUUAUUUAUUUUAUUUUCCUUAUGUUUUCCUCACAUUUUCCGGAACUAAACAUAGUCUUACGAAAUCAACAAUUGCCUUCAACUGAGUAGAUUCUGUUGUUUUAGCAAUGUUAGGCUGCUAACUUGUGGUGGUACGAACCAAAUGACCCAUGUUAAUCUUGGCUUGGUUUGAUUUGGCUCUAUCUCAGAGAGCUAAAGGAUCACGUCAACUCUGGUUUCUACUAUUCAGGUCCAUUCCCAGAUGAACUGGUUCAAAUUUGAGAAAAUGGUAACAGACCUUUAGUGAUGUUGGUUUGGAGCCAGUUGCCAAACCCGCCCUGAGCUUUACCACUAAUGUCAAGGGAGAAAGCCAUUUGAACAAAAACAAUAGCUUCAAGAGACUGAAUCGUGGAUGAAAUCUGAUCCACAUUUCUUCUCAUUUUGGGAAAAAAUGAGAACUUAACUACAAAGAUUCUACUGCCUCAUUCAUAGUGCUUUUCCUGAUCCAAGGUUGGUUCGUUUCCCAAAUUGUGAGGUGCACGUGCCACUCUCACGCUCAGGAGUGUAUCCACGUGGUGGACAUCAGAUGGUGGCUUAAUAUCUGGUGUCGGUGGCUUUACUUUACUAGGAGAGUAGUGUGUCUUCAUCUCAUUCACUGCCGGAGGGUGGCGUAAGCAGUGACGCUAAGGUGGGGCACAGUCAAUAUCAUUUGCAUUUGACCAUUAUAGUUUUCUCCCGGCUUGAAAGUAACCUUAUCGUGAUAAAGGAUUACUAGCACUAGUUCAGAUGACCGUCAUGUUAAUUCGGACCAUGUUUGUGUCACAUUAUCAGCAACCAUGUGUUUAUGGUUCAUGCUAUCUGCAACUAAACUUGAUAUAUAACCAGGUGAACUUCAAUCAAAAUUCUGGAAGUACUCUUGUGAUAGAUGGUGCCUGUCUGCAGAGUCCAUCAAUUGAAAAAUGGAGUGAGUGUAUCUAUAAGAGGGAAGGCUUGGCAAAUGUUCAGUUUUCUGGGAAUUCAACAAGGAUCUAAAAUAGAUUGUUUUCUUUGCCGACUUCAAUGGUUGAAAUUUGAGAAGAUUGUGUCCACAUAUCACAACUAUUACUGGUCCUUCUGUUGCAAUUUAUCCUGUAAGGCUCUAACAUGUCUUCCAAUUCCCACUUCCCUGUUACUCCAGGAAAGCUAUUUCUGUCAUUGUGAAGAAGAAAAGAGAAUGUACAUAUCGAUGCUUUUAAGUGACUGGAGCAUUCAUAUCAGGUGGUCUGCAGCCAUAUAUGCCACUUUGUGAAGGUUGGAACAGUCAAUCACUAGGCUAUAUAUUGGUGUGGCCCAGCCACUUCAAUCAAGGACAAGUCUUCAUACUUAAAGUCAAAUUCUGCCUUUAGUCUCAUUAUAAAUUGCUGUUUAAAUAUUAAGCAAACUUUUGUUUAAUGCGAUUAAGACAGUACUAACUCAAUACUUGUUCUAUUUUUGGAUGCAAAUGCUUGAUGGUUUCAUCAUUGGAUGGGAUAAAGGUGCAUUCAUGAUUAUGAAUACUUGUAGUUAUAUUUUCAUUCUCUUUUUUCUCAAUGAGACUUGUUGGCACAAUGUUGCUGUUCAGAAACCUACCUCUCCAUGGAAAAUAAGUUGCGAUUGAUAGUACUGGAUAUGUUCAAGAAAGCUAAAUAUAGAUAGCACAAAAUAUUAUCGAUAUAAAUAGCAUUAACAGCGUACGUAUGUCUCAAUGCUCAUCAGCUAUAAGCAUGGGACAAACACUUACUAUGAGCAACUUACGUCAAAAUUCCAGAAUAGGACAUAGAAGUGACAGAUCUAUAUAUAUAGAACACUGCAUAUGAGUCACAAGAAAGGAAAUUACGGGUGCAUAGCAGCUCUUAUUUUACAUACUACUACUCAUACUGAUCAAAGUCACUCAGUUGGGAUGGGUGGGAGUAGGAGGUUUGUGGGGUGGCUUGUGCGGAGGAGUUGGCAGCUUCUUUCCAGGACCUGGUUGCUUCUCUGCUGGAGUUGAAGGAGGCUUAAUCUUCCGAGGUGGCUUGUAUGAGUCUUCAGCAUUCUCAGCUGGAGGGUGACCAGGGUUGUGACCAUAAUGUGGUGGCUUCUCUCCCUUAGGUGGUUUGCCAACUGGGGUUGGUGGCUUGUAUGAGUCUUCAGCAUUCUCAGCAGGAGGGUGACCAGGGUUGUGACCAUAAUGUGGUGGCUUCUCUCCCUUAGGUGGUUUGCCAACUGGGGUUGGUGGCUUGUGUUCUGGGAGUGGCUUCUCCCCCUUGGGAGGUUUUUCCAAUGGGGUUGGUUUGUGUUCAGGAGGUGGCUUCUCCACUGGAGGCUUGUGUUCAGGAGGUGGCUUCUCCACCGGUGGCUUGUGUUCAGGAGGUGGCUUCUCCACCGGAGGCUUAUGCUCUGGUGGUGGCUUCUCCACCGGAGGCUUAUGCUCUGGUGGUGGCUUCUUGAAUGGGGGAUGCUGAGGGUAAUCAGCAAGUGAGGGGGCGGUGAGAACCACCAGGCCAAGCAACACCACUAGCAAAUAUGUAGGAGACAUCUUUGGGUUUGGGCUCAGAUGGUGCAAAACUAGGAGAAUUGGCUAGCCUUUUAUAGCGGAUCGUACUCAAUAAUGAAAUGACACGUGUCAUUAUGACCCAUGUGUAAUGGGGUCGAUUUGGGUCCUACAGUGUUGAAAACUUCGACAUCCAGUUUUGGCCUUUUGCUUUCUCUACAGCCGCCUUGCUUUUUCCCUCUUUCCUUUUGUUUUCCUCCUGCCCCAUUCUAUCAACUAAACACAAUUAUGUAGUUGUUUAAUUCUUAAAUGAGAUAUUAUCGGUCAAUCGUAUUAUAUUUUAUCAAGAGAGAACGGAGUGCAAUGCAGCUGUAAUUUUAUCGUUUACUUUUAUCUCUUGGACCACUGCAUUUUUGUUAAGAGGUGCAAUAAUACACGUCUUUAUCUGCCAUUCAAUGUUUACAGUAAAGAGAGGGCACAAAACUCUUCACUGCUCUGCAUGUGUCCCAAAAAUGCGAUUGGACAAAUUAUGAUUUGCAUGCUAAAAAGAGGCAAAUGAGGUUAAUUCGCACCAUAAUUAUUUGGUUUUCUGGACACCAUAAAAAGAUGUUAUACAGGCAGGGAAAAACCUUCAGAGUUAGCUACCAAAGAUAAUUAUCAAGCAGAUAUCACCAAGAGAAUUCCAUAGAGUCUGAAUCAAAGACAGAUUGCUCGCUCGUGGGGGUUCUUACUUUCUUUUGGGUAUAACUCACUGAGGUCACUGUCUUUUUUAUUUGCAUUUCACAGUUAGAGUUCUGCUCUGGAAGGUUUGUUCUGGAAACAUAUAAAAGGAGCAUCAUUUUGUUCUUGGGUAACCCAUAGUCGUGAGUGGGUCCAUUUGCAUGCUACUUAGUUGAAAAGUUGGACAAUUUGCUCCGACGCCUACCUCCUGGAUUCCAUGCUCGGUAAAACAAGAAUAAAAAAAAAUAUAUAAUUUACAAAUGGGGGAAAGAAAAAAUGUCGGAAAAAAUAGUAAAAUUCAUGUCACAUGCUAGUGAGAGAAGGGGUUGUUACACUCACUCGAAGUUCUUUUCAAAAUAUCGAAUGGUAUUUUACUUUAUGUGUCAGCGCAGUUGUGAAUGGAACGUGCAAAAGUCCAAAUUGGCGUUUUUAUUUUUCCCAUGUAGGAUGGUGACCUUUAAUAAAUAUUUAAAACAAAAGACGAAAAAAAAAAGGAGGGAAAAGGGAUCACAAAAGAUAAAAUAAUGUUUACAAAAGCUCAAUUAGUUUGCAAAUUACUGUUUGGAUUUUGAUAGUAUUUUAUUUGUCGUUCUAUAUUUGAUGUAAAAGAGAAUUUAAGAUAUUUCCGAAGCAAAAGCAUUAGUUUGCUCUGUGAUGUCCCACAUCGAAUAGGGGAGAAAGUUUCUGGCGCUAUAUAUGUAGAGGCUCCUCUUAACCAAGUAGAUGCGUUUUAAAACCAUGAGGGCCCCCUUAGGUCCAAAGCGGACAAUAUCUACAUGAUUGGGUGUAAGUCAUUACAAAUGGUAUCAGAGCCGAUCCCCGACCCCGGUGUGGGGGUUUGUUUGGCCCUGUAAGGGGUGUUUGUCUGUUUGACCCCACAAUCCCAUGGGACACAACGAGGACGUUGUGUCUGCAUGGGGGGGCGUUUGUGAUGUCCCACAUCGGAUAGGGGAGAAAGUUCCUAGUGCUAUAUAUGUAGAUGUUUCUCUUAACCAAGUAGAUGCAUUUUAAAAUUGUGAGGGCCUCUUUGGGCCCAAAGCGGACAAUAUCUACAUGGUUGAGUGUAAGUCAUUACAUGCUCCAUGUCAAUUUCAGCAUUUCUCAUAUGUUUCACACAUACACAGAAGAGCAUCGUUUUUUAAAGCAUGCAUUUAUGUUGGAUUAAUUUGGAUUUUGUGGGAACUGGGGCAAGGAUCACAUGGAAGAGAGGUUGACUUUUUUCAGUACUUCAAUGGUUGAAAUAUGUGAAGGCUUGAUUGAUACUAAAGCUUGAAAUUGCGACUCUGUCAUUUGUAAAAAAAUAUGACAGCUUCCAUGCUCUCGUUUGGUUGCAUUGUCCGGUCGAGAGGUGCAAAAAGCAUUCUCUCUCUUCUAAUAGUCUUUUCGUUUAAAUCAAGGGAUUUGCCUUCCCGGUCGAGGUCCAAUAGAGGGUAACGGUCACCUACUAAACAUUAAAUGCUCCAACAACUAGUGAACUGAUCGACCCCAGCUCGACUAGUUGAGGUUACUUUUUGGUUUUCUUGUCUCCCGAGGUUAGAAACCUAUAAAUAGAGAGCUUCACUUCAUUUAUGAGUAAGAGAACACCUAAAUUUAUUUGUUUACCUACUUGUUUUUGCCAUAAAAGCUCUCAUUUCUUUUCUUGGUGUAUUAAAUCUCCAUUUGCAUAUCCUUUAGUGCACCUUUGUGAUUCAUUCUAGCCUUGAGUUGUAUUUAAGCCUUUGUUGAGCUAGGUUGAGAGUUUCAUACUUGUUUAUUGAGUGUUAAAGCCUUCAAGUGAGUUAAAACUUGAAGAGAUUGUGUAAGAGCCCAUUGGAGUCGGAAUCCAAGUGUAAAGGUGAUUAAAAGCUUGGUUGAAGCUUCAAGUUAGUGGAACUCUCACUCGGUUAUGAGCUUGAGAAGAGUGGACAUAGACAAGGCAGUGUCGAACCACUAUAAAAUCUGAGUUUGAUUUCUCUAACCUUAUCUCUUUAUAUUUGCUUCUCUUGUGCUUAAAUUUUUUGUGUUUAAAAAGAAUUUUUAAAAACUCAAUUCACCCCCUUCUUGGGAGUUUUUCUCUUUUAAGAUCAGCUUUUAUUUUCUCAAUUGGUAUCAGAACUAUGCCUCUUGUUUAAGACUUAAUCGUCUAAGAGGAAAUGGCUAAUCCAUCAAGUUCAUCUCACAUUGAAAGUUUUGCAACCAAUAGACUUCUUUUUUUUUUUUUGCGGGAACUGAUUAUCCCUAUUGGAAAACUAAAAUGACUUGGUUUUUACAAUCAAUUGAUUUAGAUGUAUGAGAUGCCAUUGAAGAUGACCUAACUUUUCCUUCAAAACUAGUUGAUGGAGUCAUGGUUCCAAAACCUAAGCAAGAAUGGGAUGAGCGUGAUUGAAGAAAUUUUCAAUUAAAUGCUAAAGUCGUUUAUACUUUGCAAUGCUCUAUGGACAGAAAUGAAUAUAAUAGAAUAUGUCAAUGCAAAUCGGUUAAAGAAAUUUGGAGAUUGCUUGAAAUAACUCAUAAAGGAACAAAUCAAGUUAAAGAGUCAAAAAUCAAUUUACUUGUUCAUAGAUAUGAAUUGUUUUUUAUGAAAGAUAAUGAAACUAUUGUUAAGAUGAUCACUAGGUUCACCAACAUUGUUAAUGGUCUUAAAGCCUUGGGAAAGACCUACAAGGAAUCCGAAAACGUGAUGAAGAUCUUGAGGUCACUUCCAUCAAAGUGGCAUACCAAGGUCACCGCAAUUUAAGAAGCAAAAGACUUGAUCAAGCUACCUUUGGAGGAGUUCAUAGGGUCAUUGAUGACAUAUGAAAUCAAUUUGGCAAAGAAGUAACAAAAAGGUGAAGACAAAAAGAAGAAGAACAUAACUCUCAAAGCUACAACUAAGGAAGAAGAAGUUGAAGAAGAAAAACAAAUUGAAGAAGAUGAAGAUUUAGCCCUCAUCACAAGAAAGUUCAACAAAUUCAUGAGGGGUGAAAGGUUUAGAAGAAGAAGGUUCACUUCUAGAAGAGACUUUUCUAAAAAGGAAUCUUCAUCUAAUGGUGACAAAAAGAGAUGGGAAGAGAAAAGAGACUUGGUGUGUUUCAAGUGCAAGAAACCGGGACACAUUAAAUAUGAUUGUCCUCUCUACAAAAGUGAAGUCAAGAGGAAAAAGAAUAAGGCAAUGAUGGCCACUUAGAGUGAAAGUGAAGAUGAAUCAUCCGAAGAAGAAAAUGAGAAAGAAGUGGCAAACAUGUGUUUCAUGGCAAUAGAUGAACUUGAUGAGGUAAAAUCUAACCUUAGUGAUUAAGAUAUACAUGAUGCAUUUGAAGAAUUGUAUGAGGAUUUUUAAAAACUUAGUUUGAAAAAUAUUUCUCUUAAAAAGAAAGUUCAACAACUUGACAAAGAACUUAGAGAAGUAAAAGAAAAAUUUUCAAAUGUUAAAGUUUCUAAAACUCAUCUUGAAAAAGAAAAUGAGAUUCUAAGAAAGAAAAAUGAAUAGUUGAACUCCUCUCUUUCAAUCUUUUCUUCUAGACAAAAAUCUUUUGAAAUGAUUCUAACUAGCUAAAAAUGUGUUUUUGACAAACAAGGGUUAAGAUUUAAAUCUUCAAAAAAUCAAAAGUAUUUUAAAAACUAUUUUGUAAAGGAAUCCACAAGUGCAAGUCCUUCCACUACUUGCAACUUUUGUGGAAGAGAAUGGCACAUUAGUAGUACGCCCUUUAAGAAAUGGUUCUCAAAAGAAUUUAAAUGCAAAAACUAAAAAAGAUUUGGAUUGAGAAAUCCAAGGUCACUAACCCUCAAGGACCCAAAAAGAUAUAGGUACCUAAAUCAACUUGAGUUUUAUGUUGUAAGGUUCAAAGAAUGAUAAGUGGUUCUUAGAUAAUGGUUGCUCAAGACACAUGACCGGAGAUGAAUCCAAGUUUGCUUUUCUUAAAAAGAAAAAUGGAGGAUAUGUUACCUUUGGAGACAAUGCAAAAGAAAGGAUGAUUGGUCAAGGCAACAUUGGUAAUGGCACAUCCUCUCUCAUUGAAAGUGUUUUAUUAGUAGAUGGUUUCAAACAUAACCUUUUAAGCAUUAGUCAAUUUUGCGACAAAGGUUUUUAAGUGAUUUUUUAAGCAUCUCAUUGCAUCAUCAAGGAUAUUCAAAAUGAUAAAACCAUUUUCAUGGGCCAUAGAUGUGAUAAUGUUUAUGCUAUAAAUAUUUCAAAAUAUGAUGGCCAUGAUAGAUGUUUUUCAAGCAUGCAUGAUCAAAGUUGGUUGUGCCAUAGGAGAUUGAGACAUGCUAACAUAGACCUCAUUUCCCAACUCAACAAAGAUGAACUUGUUAGAGGCCUUCCCAAAAUAAUUUUUUAAAAAGAUAAAGUUUGUGAAGCUUGUCAAGUGGGAAAGUAAAUCAAAAACUCUUUUAAAAACAAAAACUUCAUUUCCACAUCUAGGCCACUUGAGUUGUUGCAUAUGGAUUUAUUUGGUCCCUCUAGGACACCAAGUCUUAGAGGAAAUUCUUAUGCAUAUGCUAUUGUGGACGACUUCUCUAGAUACACAUGAGUCUUGUUUUUUAGUCAAAAGAAUAAAGUUUUUUAUGAGUUUUCAAAGUUUUGCAAUAAGAUUCAAAAUGAAAAAGGUUUUUCAAUUACUUAUAUAAGAAGUGAUCAUGGGAGAGAAUUCGAAAAUAUUGAUUUUGAAGAGUAUUGCAAUGAGCAUGGAAUUGACCACAAUUUUUUGGCUCUUAGAACUCCUCAACAAAAUGGGGUAGUUGAAAGGAAAAAUAGAACUCUUCAAAAAAUGACAAGAACCAUACUAAAUGAAAACAACUUACCAAAAUAUUUUUAGGCCAAAACGGUUAACACUUCUUGUUAUGUUUUAAAUAGAGUAUUAUUGAGGCUCAUACUUAAGAAAACUCCCUAUGAGCUUUGGAAAAACAAAAAACCCAACAUUAGUUAUUCCAAAGUCUUUGGAUGCAAUAUUUUAUAAUAAACACCAAAGACAAUCUUGGAAAAUUUGAUGCAAAAUUGGAUGUUGGAAUUUUCCUUGGUUACUCAACUUCAAGUAAAGCUUUUCGAGUUUUAACAAAAGAACCAUGGUUGUAGAGGAGUCCAUCCAUGUUAUUUUUUAUGAAUCUCCAAGAAAGAGAGAGGAUUGAUGAUGAUUUAGGUUUGAAGACCUCUAUAGGAAGAUUGCAAAUCGAAGAUAGAAGACAACAAGAAGAAAAUGGAGAGAAUCCAAAGAAAGAAGGAUCACCAUUGGCACUACCCCCUCAUCAACAAGCGCAAGGUGAAUCAAGUCAAGAGCUUCCUAAAGAAUGGAAGUUUGUCAUCAAUCACCCACAAGAUCAAAUUAUAGGCAAUCCAUCUAGUGGGGUAAGAACUAGAUCCUCUCUUAGAAAUAUUUGCAAUAAUCUAGCUUUUAUCUCUCAAAUUGAGCCUAAAAAUAUAAAUGAUGUUUUAGAUGAUGAAAAUUGGAUAAUUGCAAUGCAAGAAGAGUUAAAUCCAUUUGAAAGAAGUGGAGUAUGGGAAUUAGUACCAAGACCUUCAAAUCAAAGUGUUAUUGGAACUAGAUGGAUCUUUAGAAAUAAAAUGGAUGAAAAUAGCAUAAUUGUUAGAAAUAAAGCAAGAUUGGUAGCCCAAGGUUUUAAUCAAGAAGAAAUGAUAGAUUAUGAAGAAACCUUUGCCCCCGUAGCUAGGUUGGAAGCCAUUAGGAUGCUACUUGCCUUUGCAUGUUUUAAAGACUUUGUUUUAUAUCAAAUGGAUGUGAAAAGUGCUUUUUUAAAUGGUUUUAUAAAUGAAGAAGUAUAUGUUGAACAACCACCCGGUUUUCAAAGUUUCAACUUUCCUAACCAUGUUUUUAAACUUAAAAAGACACUUUAUGGUUUGAAACAAGCACCUAGAUCAUGGUAUGAAAAAUUGAGUAAAUUUCUUUUGAAAAAAAUGUUUUAAAAUGGGAAAAAUUGACACAACUCUUUUUAUAAAAACCAAAGAAAAUGAUAUGCUCUUAGUUCAAAUAUAUAUUGAUGAUAUCAUUUUUGGUGCUACUAAUGUCUCUCUUUAUGAAGAAUUUUCUAAGUGCAUGCAUAGUGAGUUUGAAAUGAGCAUGAUAGGAGAACUCAACUUCUUCCUUGGACUUCAAAUCAAGCAACUAAAGGAAUGAACCUUCAUCAAUCAAGCAAAGUAUAUAAGAGAUCUUCUCAAAAGGUUCAACAUGGAAGAAGCCAAAACAAUGAAGACUCUAAUGAGCUCAUCCAUUAAGCUUGAUAAGGAUGAGAAAGGUAAAUCCAUUGACUCUAUUAUGUAUAGAGGCAUGAUAGGUUCUUUGCUCUAUUUGACCACUAGUAGACCUUACAUUAUGUAUAGUGUGUGUUUGUGUACUAGAUUUCAAUCUUGUCUUAAAAAAUCUCACUUAAGUGUCGUGAAAAGAAUCCUCAAAUAUUUGAAAGGGACAAUGGACAUAGGCUUAUGGUAUCCUAAGAGUGAUAACUUUGAAUUAAUUGGUUUUUUGGAUGCUGAUUUUGUCAGUUGUAGGGUUGAAAAAUAAAACACUAGUGGCACUUUUCAUUUCUUAAGACACUUACUUGUCUCAUGGCAUAAUAAGAAGCAAAAUUUGGUAGCUUUGUCAACAGCAGAAGCUAAAUACAUAGCAACUGGUUUAUGUUGUGCACAAAUCCUUUGGAUGAAAUAAACACUUAGUGAUUUUGAUUUAUCUUUUGAGCAUAUUCCUAUUAAAUGUGAUAAUAGUAGUGCCAUAAGUAUAUCAAAAAAUCUCGUGCAACACUCUAGGACUAAGCAUAUAGAGAUUAGACAUAAUUUUCUUAGAUAUCAUACACAAAAGGAUGAUAUAACACUUGAAUUUGUAAGCAUAAAAGACCAACUUGCCGAUAUCUUUACAAAACCUCUAAGAACAUUUUGUUGAUAUUAGAGGACAAUUAGGAGUGAUUUCUUUAUGAUCUAAUGUGAUGAAUUCUUGAUGAAUAUACUUUUUGAUUGCAUGAAUUUCAUGUCAUAUAUGCAUCAUAUAGAAAUAUACUUAGAUAAUGGUCAAAUUUCGACCAAAAAUCAAAAUUCCCAUGGCAUUAGGCAUAAAAAUUUUGGAAUUUCAACUGAAAAUGGUAGGAGGAGGAUCACAAAAUGAGAAAGUAUGCAAAAAUUGAAAAAUCAAAACGUUGACCAAGCGGUCAAUCGGACUAGACCGAUCGACUAGUUUGUCGAGAUUUAGGAUUUUUAAGAGACUCCAACGCUUCAAUUUUUGCACCGUUCUCCUCUAUUUCUUCACGGUUUCUCUGAUUUUGUCUUUUAGAGACUAAUUUGAGUGCGUUUUGGAUCAAUUGAAGCAUUUUGGAUUGGAUUUUAGGAAGAUUGAAAGUUAAGGUUUCGGAUUUGGGUCGCCUUCUCUUCCUCUCGCGUGUCACAAUCAGCUUUAGCAUUGUUCUCUUUCCAUUUUCACACACCUAGGGUUUCAGUUGUGAGCAUCUCUCUCUCUUUACCAACCACUACUCCCUUGCUUCUUCCAUAUGGCUCCUAGGCGAGAGUCCGCUACUUCUAGGGCACAAGGCAAGCACCCAACUGAGUCGUCUCAGUCAAAGGCACGUCGAAAAGUGAGAUUUGACAUUGCCUUGUUCAGUUCCAUGGAGGACUACCAACUAUACAAGCAACACUUUGCUUAGAGACGAGUAGUUCCCAAGAGAAAUAUUAAUUUUCCUCAACUUCAGCAUUUCGAAUUUAAGGGUCUAUUUACUAGGAUGGUUGGUUGUCUAUUGUCACAAUUUCGGAGCCGGUUUUCCUGACCUUAGUGCGAGUUUUUUACUCGAGGGCGACUUAUGGCAUGGGUGGCAUGAUCAUUUCUACUGUUGGAGGAGUUGAGAUCUGUCUGGACCCAGAGAGCAUCUGCCAUAUUUUCGAUAUUGCUCUGGUUGGACUCAAAGUAUACAAGUCCAAAAUGUGGCCCAUUGUGCCAGGAUUUGAGCUUAGAGAGGUCAUUCAGAGGAUUUGUGAACUUCCAGACGCCCAGGAGAUGGGCAAACCAUUGCCACACAGUUUGACGGUCAUCAACAGGGUGCUACACCAUAUAUUGUGCUCUAUCUUUCUACCACGAAGUGGACAUUGAGAUGAGGUCUCUUAUUAUGAGGCAUUCCUUAUUGACUCCAUUCUAACGGAGAGACGAAUUCAUCUACUAUGUCAUCAUUCACUAAGCCUCCUCACAGUGACAUACCACCUCAUCAGGCACCUCUUGCUCCUGACCAUGCUCCAUUGAUGGAUUUAUUUACUCAUAUUAGCUCUCUAGGCACUCGCAUGAAGGAGUUUGUUGUAGUUAGUGAUACAUGGUUCUACUCCAUAGAGGAUCGCAUGGAUCAGUAUCAGACUGGCUUCACGUCACAGUUUGAGUAUCUCCAAUAGAGGAUUGAGCAUAUUGAGGAUCACUUGAGCAUGAGAAGAUGAUGGCUUUUCUAUGCUCUGUGUUUCCACCUCCACCUCGUCAACCUUGAUUUCUUAGAGACCCAUUGUUUUCAUUUUGUAAUGUUGCCAAAAGGGGGAGAUAUUUAGGAUCUAGGACUCUAUAGGAGACUUACAUGCAUAUCAUUUUCAUAUCAUUGUUUGGAUCGUACAUAUUGGAUAGUGAUACUUUUUACUUAUAUAUGAUAUGCCUAUAUGUUUCAUGUCUUACAUUGUUUCUUAUUGCAAAUUAUCUCUAACAUGUCUUGAUUAUCUUUUUUUUAACUUCAUAAAUUUUGAUUGUUAACCCAUGAUUGGUUUGAGGGGAAGAUUCUUCUUCUCCUAGAUAACCAAGGUUUGUCAUCAUAAAAAAAUUGGAGAUUGUUAGCCCAAGGGUUCUCCUAAUCAUGUUUUGAUGAUAACAAACCAUGCUUAAGUUACUAAUUGGUUUGAAUUAUAAAGAAUUUCAAGUGUUAAUUUGAAAAUUCAUCAAAGAACCUAAUGGAUGCAAGAUCAAGAUUUUUGGAAGACCUUUAAUCAUAAGAAACAUAUGUAAGAUGAAUGCAUGGGUGCACUUAAGAUUUGCAUAUCAUUUCAUGCAUAUUUGGAAAACACGGUUUAUGCUUUAAAGUUACAUUUCCAUCAAAAUUUGAGAUCCAUCAAAUGAACCUUAGGAAAAAUGUUUUAAAAUUGGCAUAUAAUUUUACCUAAAGACCUUGCCUAAGUGUUAGAAGCAAAAGGACAAAAAAAAUAUAGGUUUUCUGGUCAAAAAUGGUGAACCAGUCAAGGCAUUGUCUAAAUCAGCUCAAUCGGCCAAGGUACCGGUCGAUCGGUUUCCCUUUCCCUGUCGAGAUCUAGUCAAGAGGUACAAAAAUCACAAUCUCUGUCUCUUUCUCUCUUUGUCUAUCUUCCAGUAGUCUUUCCUUCCCGGUCGAGGGAUUUGCCUUCCCGAUUGAGGUCCGAUUGAGAGUAAUAGUCACUUGCCAAAUAUUAAAUGCUCCAACAGUUAGUGAACUGGUCGACCCCCACCUUGCCCAGUUGAGGUUACUUUUUGGUUUUCUUGGCUCCCGAUGUUAGAAACCUAUAAAUAGAGAGUUCCACUUCAUUUAUGAGCAAGAGAACACUUGCAUUUAUUUGUUUACCUACUUGUUCUUGCCUUAAAAGCUCUCAUUUCUUUUCUUGGUGCAUUAAAUCUCCAUUUUGAUAUCCUUUAGUGCACCUUUGUGAUUCAUCUUAGCCUUGAGUUGUAUUUGAGCCCUUUUUUUAGCUAGGUUGAGAGUUUCAUACUUGUUAAUUGAGUGUUAAAGCCUUCAAGUGAGUUGAAACUUGUAGAGAUUAUGUGAGAGUCGAUUGGAGCCGAAAUCCAAGUGUAAAGGUGAUUAGAAGCUUGGUUGAAGCUUCAAGUUAGUGGAAUCCUCACUCAAUUAGGAGCUUGAGGAGAGUGGACGUAGCCAAGGAAGUGUCGAACCACUAUAAAAUUUGAGUUUGAUUUCUCUAACAUUGUCUCUUUAUAUUUGUUUAUCUUGUGCUUAAAUUUAUUGUGUUUAAAAAGAAUUUUUAAAUACCCAAUUCACCCCCCUCUUGGGUGUUUUUCUCUUUUAAAAUUAGCCUUUAUUUUCUCACAAACUAUUGUAGUAUAGUGGUUUUUAGGUGUCAUCCAUUAGGAUGAAUUGUUCUCGGUAAUUAAGGCGUGAAUGAGAGGAGAAUUAAUGAUUGUGAUUAAGUAAAAUUGAUUUGAAAAUUCAUGGUGAAAAAUCAAUUUAACAAUGGUUUCUAAUUGAGAAAAACAAUGAAAUGUGAAAUAAAAUAAAAUUAAUAGGAAAUGAAAUUCUCGAAGUUAGAAUUUUCUAAAAAACAAAUUCCAUGGUGAAUGGAUGUUGAGAUCUAAUUUUCAUCAAGUUAGAUUGAAAACCGAAAUUUUCAUAUAAACUGAUUUUUUAUUUAGUUUUAGGUCUAGAUUUAAUUUCCCUUAAAAUUAGGUUAUUUAAUCCAAGAAAUCAAUUCAAAUCAUAUAUUCAAUUCAUCUUAAAUUAUCUUCCAAUUAUUCACACAAUGCAACUAUUCAAUCUCAUCAAAUCUAGCUUUUAAGAAUUUAAUGAAUCUACCUAGUUUGCAUUGUAAUAGUCAUCCAUGACAAUUUGAAGAGAAAAAUAAUUCAAUUAAUCAAUCACUUGGAUCAAAUUACCUUUGCAAUUAAAGUUCAUUUCUCUAAUUCACCACAGAUUUUGUCUCUAGAUCCUCCUUUCUCAAAGAAAAAUGAGAUUUAGCCACACAUGAUUGGAGAUUUGGUCUCAUAAGGCAUGUUUAGCUAGUGAUAAAAUGAGAGAAAAUAAAGAAAAAUAGAGAAUUCGAUUAAGAAAGAAAAUCUAAAAAAUUCUACAAUUAGAAAUGUCCAAAAAGCUUUUUCAUGAGAAAAUCAAGUUUCUAUUUAUAGGCCAAGGUCAAGUGGACACUUGACAUCAUCUAAGAGGUCUUCCGGAAGCUUCUUCAUCAAGAAAUCUGGAGUUUAAUAAUAAAAUGGUCAUUUCACAAGAGCUCAAACAAUUUCGCAUGAUUAUGUGAAAUAAAAAAUGCAACAACAGCAAUUUACAUCUUCUUGGAGCAUUUCGCAUGACUGUGUGAAAUUUUCACAUGAUCAUGUGGAAUCGACUUGACAACUCUCAUUUAGCCUACAACAUAAUUCCACCUUUUGGUCCAUUUUUCAUAGUCAUGCGAAAUGGAAAUAUUUGAUUUUUAAGUUUUCUUUUGUCAUUUCUUUCAUUUCCUUCUCUUGAUUCCACUUCAACUACCUCCGAAUCCUGGUCCAAACCAAUUGCAUUACUUCUUUCAUUAUGCAUUUGGAUCAUCAUCAACAUUAUUUGUUCUCUUCAAUUUGAUUCAUCUCUUUUGUCACCAAUUUAUCAAAAUCAUACCUUGAAAUGACUCCAAAACUUCAUAAAACUUGUUAGUAACUCUUGCAAGGGCAACAACAUAUUAAUUAAGUGUUUUAGGCAUAGUUACUACUCAAAAGAUGCGAAACUCAUGAUAAUUAUUAUAUAAAAUAUGCUCUUUUUGAGUAGUAAUCAACUUUCUUGCAUAAGCAGACCUUUUAGGGUGGAGUACUAAAGACCAAUAUGCUUGUCCUUGUUGUAAUAAAGAAACUUGCUCUUAUUGAUUGCACCAUGGGAGAAAAUUUUGCUACAUGAGUUAUCAUCAAUUUCUUCCCACCAAUCAUAGAUUUAGACGUGACAAGAGGCCUCUUAAUGGCAAGGAGGAACUGACACUCACACUUAUACAAUUAUCGGGCAUUGAUGUGUUGCAACAAUUAGAAUAACUUACACCAAUUAUGUUGGGGAAGUCACAAAAGGCAAACAUGAAAACUAAAAGGAAAAAAGAAAAAUGUUACAUAUCACCACAACUGGAAAGAAAAAAGUAUUUACUUUCAUUUGCCAUAUUGGAAAGCACUUAUUUUACAUCAUAAUAAUUUAGACAUAAUGCAUAUUGAGAAAAAUGUGUGACAAUAUAAUUGAGACAUUGUUCAGUAUUGACGAAGAAACAAGGACAACCUAAAUAGUCAUCUCGAUUUACAAGCUCUAACUAUUAGAAAUGAGAUUCACCCAAUAGAAAGCAGGACCAAAUUUAUUUUGCUUGCAACAUGCUACUCACUCACCCCAAAUGAGAUUAAGGAAUUUUGCAAGUUUUUGAAAUCAAUAAAGGUCCCCAAUGGCUAUUCUUUCAAUAUCUCUCGUUAUGUGCAACUCAAUGAAAGGAAGAUAUAUGAGCUCAAAUUGUAUGAUUGUCAUGUCCUAAUGCAACAACUUCUCUCACUUGUAGUUCGUGGAGUUCUACAUAAGAAUGUUUGUGGAGUUAUCAUAGAAUUGCGUAAUUUUUUCAAGCAAUUGUGCUCAAAGGUGUUAGAAACAAAUCACUUACACCAACUUGAGAACAAUAUUAUUGUCAUACUAUGUAAAAUGGAGCAAAUAUUUCUUCCAUCAUUCUUUGAUAUUAUGGUGCAUUUACUUGUGCAUCUAGUAAGGCAAAGGUUGCAAGACUUGUGCAAUAUUGUUGGAUGUACCUAAUUGAACGAUAUUGUUAUAAUUUCAUAUGAAUCAUUUAAUUUUAUUUUAUAUUAUGUUCAGUUCAUUAACAUGUACAUUGGUCUACAUAUGGAUGAUGAUAGGUACCUAAGCACUUUAAAGUCAUAUGUGCGUAAUAGAACUUUUCUAGAAGGUUCUAUUGUAGAAAGGUACCUUGCAAAAGAAUGUACAACAUUUUAUUCUAGGUACUUGAAUGAUGUGGAAAUAAAGUAUAAUCACAAUGAUAGAAACUUUGUUGGUUUCAACACUAGAGGAGAUGAAAGGGGUUAUCUUUAAACAUAUUGGACAUGCAUUGGGAAAGCCCAUAUUUCAUUAACUUAGUUCAAAAGAGUGGUCACAAGCACAUUUAUAUGUGUUGACAAAUUGCGAAGAUGUCAUACCAUUCAUUGAGUAAAAAAUUUAUUUGAAUUUUAAUUAAAGCUCUAGUUUAUAUCCUUAAUCAAUGUUUUUUAAAUUCACAAGGAGCACAAGCAAACCAUCAAGGCUAGACCACAUAUACGUGUUUGAGACGUAGAUUUAAUUCAUAACAAGGAAUUUAUCAAGUGGUUUGAAAGACAUGUAAGUAUAUUCCUUAUUAUAAGGGAUUUAUUUCACAUUAUGUUUAUAUUGAAUCCAAACCUAUUAUUGAAUUGUAGGUUGAACAAUUACAUAAUGAAGGUCAUAUAUCUGAACACCUUCUCACAUUAUCAUGUGUUCCAAAUUCAUUAGUUACAUGCUUCAAAUGAUAUAUUGUCAAUGGAUUUAGAUCCCACAUUAAAGAACGUGAUAAAAAAGUUUUUAAAAAAAGACUCAGAAUAAUGGAAUUGUUGUAGUUGCAAAAACGUCAAGCUUUACAAGUGCAUGUGAUAUGAGUCCAAUUAUUAGUGAUGCUCUCUACUAUGGUGUUCUAACUAAAGUUGUUGAGUUACAUUAUCUUGGUGAAAAUAAGGUUGUUUUAUUCGAGUUUGAUUGGUGGGAUGUUACAAAUAUUGGAAAAUUGAUAAAAGAUGAUGAGUACAAUUACACAUUUGUUAACUUUGCAUGAAUUCUAACCACGAACGAACGAUUUGUACUUGCAUCUCCAGCAAAGUAAGUGUUCUAUGUGAAGAAUGCGAAUGAAUCAGAUUGGCAUACUAUCAUGGAGAUGCAACCUCAAGACCUCUAUAAGAUGAACGGGAUAGGAUCCAAUGGUGAUUUUGAACCAUUUCAACAAAGUGAACUACAUGAUCACUAAUAUAUCUCAGAUUUAGUUGAUGAAGAUAUAAUCAAGUGGAACAAAAGUGAUGUUUUAGGACUAAUCAUCCUAAAAAAUAUUGUAGUUUCUUAAAAAAAAAAUGAAAAUGAAGAAGAUAAUUGAACCUUUGUCAUACUUUAAAAAGCAACUAUGCAUUGUUCAUUUUGUAUGUUUUGGUUUUCUUCAUUUAAUUUCCUGAUUUUUGUGAUUCAAUGUCAUAUUAUUGAUCUUGAAAUAUUUUUCUAAUUUUUCAUUCUACGAUGGUUUCAACAAGGAUGACAUCAAGUCAAAAAAGGAAAUGUGGUCCCACACACAAUAUUGCAUUACAGGGAUUAAGGUCAGGGAAGAAGGUAAAAGUUGCAUUUAAUGAGUACAAUCAAUUGGUUAAACAGAAAAAUGGAAAACACUUAUCGAGCUACAUAGGGACACUUGUAUCUAACCAACACAAUGUACCUCUCCAAGCUAGUGAUUGGAAAAAUGUUCCAAAUGAUGCAAAAGAGAAAGUAUGGCCUUUGUUUUGGUAUGUUGUAUUUCUCACUAUAUGAUGUCAUUUCACUGUUAUUCUAUUUUGUGACUAACGUUUGAAUCAUAUGUAAGAAAAAUUUGAAGUAGAUAAAGACUGAAAAGAUUACAUGUUGGGUAUAGCCUCAAAUAAAUAUAGAAGCUAUAAAAAUAUGAUGAAUGCAAAAUACUAUGACCCUUGGCAUAAGGAUGCAUGAGGAGAGGUUAAUACAUAAAUCACCAUUUGUCUCUGAUGUUGAUUGGAAGUGGCUUGUCUCUGAUGCAUAAACCAAAUCCCCCACUGAAUGUUUGAUAUUUGAUAGCAGGAAAAACACACCCGCAGCUAUACACCUCCAUCAUUCAGAUAAUUAUAGUGGGGGAGAUGAUUCAUGGUUGCCCUUAUACCCUUUAUUUGCACCAUCUAUUGAGAUUCUUUAUCAUGGCCAGGUUUUACUGCAGCAAUAAGAUAUGGUGGCAACAAUUUUAUCUAUAGGUGCGGUUCCAGACCGCCUCCAUAGGUGCGGUUCCUGACUGCCUCCAUAGGUGCCUCUUCUUGUAAUGUUUGUUCUGGGAAUUACACUUGAAAGCCUUAUCGUGAUAAGGGAUUACAAACACUAGUUCAGAGGACAGCCAUGUUAAACUUCCACUAUGUUUGUGUCACAUUAUCAGCAGCCUAGUGUUUAUUGGUCAUGCUAUCUGCAACUAAUAUAACCCGGUGAACUUCAAUCUAAAUUCUGAAAGUACUCAUGUGACAGAUGGUGCCUUUCAGCAGAUAUCAUCAAUUUAAAAGUAGUGUGUGUGCCUAUAGGUGGGAAGGCCUUGGCAAAUGUUCAGUAUUCCGGUAAUUCAAGAAGGAUAUAUCUAAAAUAGAUUUUCUUCUUGCCCAUUUCAAUAGUUAAAAUUUGAGAAGAUUGUGUCCACAUCACACAAAUAUUAUUGGUCCUUCUGUUGCAAUUUACCUCUGAACAUGUCUUCCAAUUCCCACGGUCCUGUUACUCCAGGAAAACUAUUUCGGUCAUAUUGAAAAAAAAAAUAUUAAAGAAGGUACACAUGCUUUUAAGUGGACUGGGGCAUUCAUAUCAGGUGGUCUGUAUCCACAUAUGCCACUUCGUGAAAGGUGGAACAGCCUAAUCACUAGGCUAUUUAGUGUGGCCCAGCCACGUUAAUCAAGCACAAGUCUUCAUACUUAAAGUCAAAUGGUGUCUUUAGUCUCAUUACACAUCGCUAUUUGAAGAUUAACUCAUCACUAGUGUAAUGCGAUUAAGACAGUCCUAACUCAAUAUUUGUUCUAGUUUUGGAUGCAAAUGCUUGCUGGUUUCAUCAUUGGAUGGGAUAAAGGUGCAAUCAGGACUAUGAAUACGUGCAGUAAUACUUCAUUCUCUUUUUUCUCAAUGAGACUUCUUGGCACAAUUUUGCUGCUCAGCAACCUACCUUUCCAUGGAAAAUCAGUUGUGACUGAUAGUAAUGGAUAUAUUCUAGAAAGCUAAACAUAGAUAGCAUUCAAUAUUAUCGAUAUAACAUUAACAGCGUAUGUCUCAAUGCUCAUCAGCUACAAGCAAUGGACAAACACUUUGAGUAACUCACAGCAGUCAAAAUUCCUAAACAGGACAGACGUGACAGAUCUAUAUAUAGAACACUGCAUAUGAGUCACAGGAAAAGAUAAUACGGGUACAUAGAAGCUCUUAUUUUACAUAUUACUCAUACUGAUCAAAGUCGCUCAGUUGGGAUGGAUGGGAGAAGGAGGUUUGAGGGGUGGCUUGUGCGGGGAAGUUGGCAGCUUCUUUCCGGGAGCUGGUUGCUUCUUUGCUGGAGUUGAAGGAGGCUUAAUCUUCCGAGGUGGCUUGUAUGAGUCUUCAGCAUUCUCAGCAGGAGGGUGACCAGGGUUGUGACCAUAAUGUGGUGGCUUCUCUCCCUUAGGUGGUUUGCCAACUGGGGUUGGUGGCUUGUUUUCUGGGAGUGGCUUCUCUCCCUUGGGUGGUUUGCCAACUGGGGUUGGUGGCUUGUGUUCUGGGAGUGGCUUCUCCCCCUUGGGAGGUUUUUCGAAUGGGGUGGGUUUGUGUCCUGGUGGUGGCUUCUCUCCCUUGGGAGGUUUACCAAUUGGGGUCGGUGGCUUGUGUUCUGGGAGGGGCUUCUCUCCCUGGGGAGGUUUAGUGGGUGGCUUGUGUUCUGGAGGUGGCUUCUCCACCGGAGGCUUAUGCUCUGGUGGUGGCUUCUCGAAGGGGGGAUGCUCAGGGUAAUCACCAAGUGAGGGGGUGGUGAGAACCACCAUGCCAAGCAACAACACUAGCAAGUAUGUAGUAGACAUCUUUGGGUUUGGACUCAGACAGUGCAAAACUACGAGAAAUCGCUAGCCCUUUAUAGCGGCUCGGACCUAAUACUGACAUAAUAUAAAAUAAAUAUUAUAUUUUAUCAAGAGAGAACAGAGUGUAAUUUUAUCAUUAAUACCGAUCGAGGCCAAAGAAAGAAGACCCAUAAUCCAUUUCCCACAAGCAUACACAAUGCAGCUGUAAUUUUAUCAUUUACUUUUAUCCCUUGGACCACUGCAUUUUUGUUGAGAGACACAAUAACACAUUUUUAUCUGUCAUUCAACAUUUACAGUAAAGAGAGGGCACAAAACGCAAUUAGAUAAAUUAUGUUUUGCCUGCUAAAAAGAGGCAAAUAACUUUAUUUGCAACAUAAUUAUUUUGGUUUCUAGUGACCCCGGGGCCUUUCGGUUGGUUUGGGAUCGGAAAAUGAACAUCAUAGGGGGGGUUGUGCCCUUAUGGGCAUAUAUAUCUGAUAGCUUCAACUGGCCUUGUUCCUAGAAAGAAAUUGCCAAAGAUAUAAACUUAUUCCAGGCUGAAAGUAGAUGAGAGUCAUAAUGAACAUCAACCUUUGUUCAGUUUGAUUCAAUGCCCCCAUAGUGUUCAUUUCACAGAUCUGAAUGAUUAUAUCCGUUGAAUACAUAAAUUAAUGAAGACAAAUAUGAAACCCAAGAUACAUCUCUGCAUAACAACCCCAACCCUGGUUGCUAUGUUUCCCUUCUUCUAUUCACAUGAGGAUACUGGUUAUAAUUGUCAAACUUGCAACAAGCCCUUUGACACCUAACGUCAAUGGACGAAUUAAAAGUCUCCUUCAAACGUCUAUUUCACAGCAUGAAGCUUAUAAAGGAUGCUGACAACCUUCAGAGUUAGCGACAAAAGAUAAUUAUCAAGGAGAGAUAGUUCCAUGAGAAUUCCAAGGAGUCUGAAUCAAAGACAAAUUGCUCACUCAAGGGUUCUUAUUUUCUUUUAGGUACAAAUCUCUUGAGUGUUGUUAAAGAAACACGUCACUGUCAUUUUGAUUUGCAUUUAACAUUUCACUUUUGUUCUGGAAGGUUUGUUCCGGAAACAUAUCAAAUGAGCAUCAUUUUCUUCUUCGGUGACACAUGGUCGCGAGUACGUGGGUCCAUUUUCAUGCCACUUAGUUGAAAAGUUGGAAAGAAAAAACAUGCCAACAAGAAGAUAGUGAGAGAAGGGGCACUUCAAGCCUUUAACAUGAACAAACAGUAAAUAAAAGAUGUUUCUCCACUCAUAAAAGUGUGUUAGAUAGCAAUAUAACGAAUCACAUCCAAAAUCUUUACUAGGCUCAAACAUAAAGAAGACUCAUUUUUAAGAAAAGAUAAAAAUGGCAUUGUCUGAUAGUAUCCAAUACACGAGAUGGCACUUAAUUUGUACAAGAUCUGUCAAUGCUGACGCACAUUUUCUGAUUAAAAAAAAACUGAUCAGUCAAAAGCAAUGAAGAGAAGUGAUGACAAUGAAUGAUGCUUCCAAUAUUUUCACCCCUUAUAGUGUUCUUCAUGAUUCAGAUAUAUAAUUGGAAAUAGAACAACCCUAUGCCAUACAUUCGUCUAAGUAUGGUGUCUAAUUUUUUGUGUCAGCGGUUGCGAAUGGAGCGUGCAAAAGUCCAAAUUGGCGUCUCUCCAUUUCCACAUAGGAAGGUGACCUUUAUUGACAAAUACCCAAUAUUUGUAGACAUUCCUUAAAUAUCAUAACUUCUUGUUGAUUUGAAAAUCAUUUUUCAACUACCAUGUUUUAAUAAAUAUUUUUUAAAAUGUAUUUUUAUCAAAGUCCACCAUGAUGGAUAAUAUUCACCAUGCAAUAAUUAAUAAAGUACAAACUAAGCGAAAUGAAAAGCAUUUUCUUUGCUUUGAGUUGAUUUUGGUUGCAUUGAGUUGAUUUUGGUUUCAUGGUUUUUUCAACUCUUAUUUUGAUUGGAAGAUGUCAAGAAAAGAAAACAUAAAGAAAAAUUAAAAGGGAAAAAAGAAGAAAAAUAAAAAAAAAUAGAUUUAAAAGUUAAUAAAUUAUUUUUUAUAUUUAUUUUAAUUCAUUUCACUUAUUUUUCUUUUACUAUAUAAAAUUUAAAUAAUUUAAAUUUUAUAAUUAAUUUAAUUACAUUUCAUUUUCUUCUAUAUUUAAAUAUUGGAAAAAUAUUUUACUUAAUAUUUUUUUCUUUAAUUUCUUUGGCAUUUUGGGAACCAAACUUAGCCUUUAAAAUAAAAAACAAAAAAAAAAUGAAAAUAAGGAGGGAAAAGUGAGAAAAGAUAAAAACAAUAUGUAAAGGAUUUGAAAAGUAUUAGUUUGUAAUUACUAUUUGGAUUUCAAUAGUAUUUUAUUUGUCUUUCUAUAUUUCAUGUAAGAGAGAAUUUAAGAUAUUCCCCAAGGCAAAGCAUUAGUUACCUGCAAUCAGUGGUGAUAAGGCUCCAAGCCAAUUUUGGGCCCCAUAUCUUAAGACAGUACAAUUUCCAUUUCAACAUUUCUGAUUUCUCAGAUGUUUCACAUACCACAGAAGAACAUUGUUUGUGAAAAUAUGCAUUUAUGUUGGAUUUUGUAUGCUGUGGGGACUGGGGCAAGGAUCAUAUGGAAGAGUGGUUGACUUUUUCUGUACUUUAACGGUUGAAAUAGGAUAAGCACGGGCAUUUGUGAGGCUUAAUUGAUUUUGAAGCCUGAAAUUGCGUUUCUGUCAUUUUGUCAAAAAAAUGGCAGAUUCCAUACUCAUAUGUUUGGCCUGUGGCCAUGUACAGAUGCCAUUUAGUGACCAGUUUGUAACUGUCAAUCGUUGCGUUUUGACUCUGCCUCAACAACAUCUGCCAUUGACGGGUUUUCAUACUUGCAAAUCAAAUAGUCUUUCGUCCCAUCAGGAAUUUCGGUUUAAAUAUUAUUAAGCAUACGUUUGGCUGACAAUCAUUAUCCAGUUCAUGAUUUGGUUUCUUACCCUUAAUCAAUGGUUUCUAAGUGAAUAUAUGUAGAAGGAAAUCCGAAGUGUAGACAGUAGUAUCGAUAACUCUCAAUAUUCUCUAUAUAAUAGAAUAAACAGCGUCAUAGUGAUCGUCGCCUACAAGCAAGGUACAAAUACCAAAACGAGUGACUCACAUAGACAUCUCCCAACAAGAUGUAGUAGUGACUGACACAUGGACACAAUUAACUCGUAGAAAAGGAUAAGACCAUUGCACAGCAGCUCUUAUUUUACAUACUACUUAUGCUAACCAAAGUCAAUUAGUUGGGAUGGGUGGGAGAUGGAGGUUUGUGCGGUGGCUUGUGGGGCGGAGUUGAUGGCUUCUUUCCAGGAGCUUCUGGCUUUUUCAUCGGAGCUGAAGGAGGCUCAAUCUUAUGAGGCGGCUUGUAUGAGUCUUCUUUACUCUCGACAGGAGGGUGGCCAGGGUUGUGAUCAUAAUGUGGUGGCUUCUCUCCCUUAGGUGGCUUGCCAACUGGGGUUGGUGGCUUGUGUUCAGGAAGUGGUUUCUCUCCCAUGGGAGGUUUAGCAAUUGGGGUUGGUGGCUUGUGUUCUGGGAGUGGCUUCUCUCCCUUGGGAGGUUUAGUAGGUGACUUGUGUUCUGGAGGUGGCUUCUCCACCGGAGGCUUGUGCUCCGGUGGUGGCUUCUUGGUUGGAGGGGGCUUGGGGUAAUCAGCAAGAGAUGGGGUGGUGAGAACCACCAGUCCAAGGAACAACACUAGCAAGUAUGUGGGAGACAUUUUUGAGUUUGGGCUGAUCAGAUGAUGCAAAACUAAAGCAUUACGUGACCUUUUAUAGCAUGUAGCUCCCAAUACCCACUAAGUAUUGUGGGGUCCAUUUGUGCCCUACGGGGUUGAAAACUUAGACAAUUGGGCAAGGACCCACCUGACUAUGGAGGACUAGUGAGGUGUGAUCAUAGCUUUAGGAUUUUUCUUCCUCUGCAGCCGUCGUGCCGUUGGCAUGAUUUUCUUAAUCUUAAAUAAAGGCAUAGUUAUAGAGUUGUUUAAUCUCUAAAUGGGAUUUUAUAUAUAUCUUCAGAUAGCCAUUAAUAUAUUUGAUGAAGAAAGAAAGACAAGUGCAUACAACAUGUAUACGACUAGCUUUCAUGGAGUUCAUUUAUGAUCAGUUUUCCUGUACAUGUAAACCAGGAUCAUAUAUAUGUUUCUGUUCCACAACUAUUUUGGAAUCUUGUUUAUCAGUUUUUAUCAUUAUAAUGUCACAUAGGCUGCCAACUUGGGCGCUAAAAGAACCAGUUGGGCUAGUUCGUUUCAGAAUUUCAAUGUGGAUUCAGGAAUUGUUUUGUAAGAUAUGCGAAAUAGUAGAGGGAUGAAUAGUGUUUCAUUAAUAAAAGUGUCCUGUAAAUUAGAAGGUGUCAUAGAAACUAUAAUCAAUAAAUAACUUUUUUUCCCCACGGGUGGUGUUUCUUGUGGGGAUCAGUGACUGGUUUAGGUUCACCCAAAAUGAGUUCAGACUAAAAUUGGUUUGAGUCAAUGCCGUGUCUCUUUUUUCCAGAAAUCAACUAUUUUAUGCAUUGAAUAAAUCAUACAAAGAAAAUAUGAACGCCCGCAAAACCUAAACCCUGGUUGCUAACUUUCUAUGUUUCAGUUCUAUUCACGCAAGAAUAUUAGUUUAAGUUUGGGAAAAAUGGCAACUUACCUAGUGAUUACUUGGUUUUGGUUUGCGACUAUUUACGCAACCAACCAUGAGUUUGACUUUAACGUCAUGGGUUGAAGCCUCCUACAGGAAGGGAGAAAGCUCCACAGCUAGCUCCAAAAGAGAAUUAUCACAUUGAUAGCUCCAGAGAUUCCCAAGGGGACUGAAUCAAAGACAAGUUCCUCACUUUUUCUUCUUUUGAGGCCAAAUAUGAACCAAGGAUCACACAACCUCAUUCAACUUCAUAAGUUUGAUUUCAUGCAGUUGAACACUGGGUGAAGGCCAUGACAAGAAUUGAUUCAAAAAUUCUAUCACUCUUUUAAGUAAUGGAAGAUUAUUAUCUCUGAUUGGCAUCACAACAGCACAUGCUCCUAGAUCUUUCUAGACACUCCAUGCAAUGAAAGCACAAUGGAUCUUGUAACGAUAGAAACUAAGCCAUGCUACAGUACUAGAUGAUGAGGUAAAACUAGUAGACACGGGUGGCAGCCUAUAUGGGAGGGACACAAGUCUAAUUGAUUUGCAUUUCAGCAUUAUAGAUAGGUAUGUUUUGGAAGAUUUGUUCUGGAAAUACCGCACCAAGUAGGAUUCUUUUUCUCUUUAGUGGGUCCACUUGCAUGCCAAUUAACGAGUUGAAAAGUAUGAGCACCUACCUCGUGCUCGUGGAACCGAAGGUCAGUGAAGUGGGGCUCCUUUUGGCCUCGUGUAAACUUGAUUCAGAAGUGAAGUUAAUAGUCUUCCAUUCAGAUGGAUACAUGGGAAUUUUUCUCUUUUAUUUAUUUAUUUAUUUUUUUUUUGUGUGUGUAUGUCAAAGGAUAAUGAAUGAAGCGCGUUAGCUUGUUUUCUGACUGGAACCGCAGAUGUCCAAAUUGGAGUUCCUUCAUUUCUUACUUAGGAUUGUUACAUGUAUAAACAAGGUAUAAGAAAUAUGCCAACGUGUCUUGAGGAGUUAUUGAUUAGAAAUAACAAGUCACCCGACUGUAGAGUUCCAAGAUUUGAAUCUUCAGACCCUAUAGCAGCCUCUGGGGUACGUGGCAUCCUAUAGCAUAUUAAUGAAGGCUUUUUCGAUUUAGACUUCACAAUACCAAUUAAUAUGUAUGCACAAAAUGGAGAUGACCCCAAAAAAAACAGAAUCGCCAUAGUUUAUGAGGUUAAGGUGAUUCUCCACUUAAUAUCUACAUUAGCUAAUUAUGUAAAUCAAAUGAACUUCUAUUUUUCCUUUUUUUUUUUGGUUUAUGUCAAAUAGUAGCCCAUAAUUAACCCAACCAUUAGCCUGUUUGAAUUGAUUUCACAUGCACAAUGUUGUAGUAGUUCAUAUUUUGAAUUUUAUUUUUACAAAGGUAGUUAAGGAAAAUGAAGUAUAAUAAUUAUAAAAGCAGACUAUAUACACUACAAUAAUUGUUAGAAUGGUAUCUCAAAUUCUAAUUUAAAAUAUUAUUUUUUGUAAAAGAAAUAUUAUAUAGAAUAUUUCCUAAUUUUAUAAAUGAUUAUAAUUAGAUCUUUAUAAAAUAAGGAAAGUUGGUAAGAAUAUCUUUAUAAAUAUUUUAGGUCAUGAGAGAAAGAAAUGGGAUAAAAAUGUGAUGAAGAGGUGAAAUAAGAGAGUUGAUUAGGAUAUAGAUGUGAAGAAGAAAGGGAUUCAAUAUAUAUAUAUCUUUCAAUUACCACAUUAAAACCCUGUGAACCUUUUAUAUGGUUUACUUUAUUUUUAUAUUCCUCCUUUAAUAUAUUUACAUUAAUGCUUCCAUUGGCACAACAAUAACGAAUUACAAAUACAAGCAACAAGUCCCAUGUUUUAUUACCAAAAGCAGGUAAAAUCCACCUAAUAUAUUACAAUAUAUUCAUCCAAUAUUUUAGACCAAUUCUUCACCAUAAAUAUCAUAAUGUGGCUUUUGUUCUUUCUUAAAUUUAAAUUGAAUUGUCUUAUAUCAAUUUGUUUGUGAUUUUUUCAUUAACUUCACUUUCAUUUGGUUAUCUUUGGUUUUUGAAAAGUAUUAAGGAAUUAAUUAACAAAAUAAUGUUAAGAAAAAUAAUUUUCUCUCUUUUGAUUUUGAUUUUGUAGUAGAAAAAUAUAAUUAAAAUUAUUUAAAAAGUAUGUAAUUUUAAAUUAUUUAAUAUUUAGAUAAAAAAAAUAAGUCUAAUGAGUUUAAAAUAACAUAUAAAAAUAAUUUAUUUAUUUUAAAUUUAUUUUUUAUUUUCCAUUAUGUUCUCUUUCUCUUUUACUUUUUCAUAUUUUUUCUUACGAAGAAUCAAACACAACCUCAUAUUAUAUGUCAAGUGUUUGUCUAUAUUUGAGCAAUGUUAGAUACGGCCAUGGAUUCAUCAAACUAAACUGAUUUUAAUAGAUACUUCACAAAUUGAUUUAUACACUAAAUCAUUGGAUAGCAAUGAUGCAUUGGAAUUAAACGUAGGAUGAAGCUCGAAGAACACUGUUUGUGUAACAACAUAUUUAUGAAAUUAUGCAAAGGAUGAGCUUCGGGGUAGUAGUACAAGGUCAUUAAUGGAGAGCCGUGUUAAACCUUGAUUGUGAUUGGAUUCCGUUAUCAGCAACAGCAACCUUGUUUGUAACCUUGAAAGUCAUUCUGUCCACAUCGAAACUCCAAUUUGACGUUUGUAAUUACCAUUCCUGGAGUGUUCCUUGAUUGAAAUUUAAAUAAUAAUUGCGGCCCACAAGGAAUAUUUUCGAUUCUGUGGGAAUUUGACAAGGUUUGUUAGAGAAGACUGGUGACAUGUUGACUUCAAUGGUUCAAAUAGGAGACGUAUGUGGAUUUGGGGGGUUUAAUUGAAACUGAGUCCCUAUGGCUUUUUAAUAUUUGCAUUGAGCAGUCUCCAUGUGACUUCCUAAUUCCCACCAACCCUCCUGUCCAUGCUGUGAAACUAAAUUGUAAUUUAUCAGCCUUUGUCAAUGGUUUCUAAAUUAAAGAUAUAGACCAUGCAUGUACUUUAAUAAAAGCAAAUCUAAAGUGUAGAUAGCAGCAAUGGUGACACCCAAUAUUCUCCAUAAAAUAGAAUUAGAAUAAGCAGUGUUACAUUGUUCAUGAUCACCUACAAGCAUACAAGAACUUCCAUGAAUAACUCAUAGCAAUUGCCAACAGGGCGUCGUAGAGACUCAUACAUAGAACACUAUCCACCCAGAGGAAAGGACAAGACCAGUGCGCUGCAGCUCUUAUUUUUCACAUGUAUACCACCACUCGUAAUAACCAAAUUCACUCAGUUGGGAUAGGUGGGAGAUGGUGGUUUGUGGGGUGGCUUGUGGGGAGGAGUUGGAGGAGGCUUUAUUUUCUGAGGCGGCUUGUAUGAGUGUGCAGGAGGAUGCCCGGGAGUGUGACCAUAAUGUGGUGGCUUCUCUCCCGUAGGUGGUUUGCCAAAUGGGCUUGGUGGCUUCUCUCCCUUAGGAGGUUUACCAAUUGGGGUUGGUGGCUUGUGUUCUGGGAGUGGUUUCUCUCCCUUGGUAGGUUUGCCAAUUGGGGUUGGCGGCUUAUGUUCUGGGAGUGGCUUCUCUCCCUUGGGAGGUUUGCUAAUUGGGGUUGGCGGCUUAUGUUCUGGGGGCGGCUUCUCUCCCUUGGGAGGUUUGCCAAUUGGAGUUGGCGGCUUAUGUUCUGGGAGUGGCUUUUCUCCCUUGGGAGGCUUGCCAAUUGGGGUUGGCGGCUUAUGUUCUGGGGGUGGCUUCUCUCCUUUAGGAGGUUUGCCAAUUGGAGUCGGCGGCUUAUGUUCUGGAAGUGGCUUUUUUCCCUUGGGAGGUUUGCCAAUUGGGGUUGGCGGCUUAUGUUCUGGGGGUGGCUUCUCUCCCUUGGGAGGUUUGCCAAUUGGAGUCGGCGGCUUAUGUUCUGGGAGUGGCUUCUCUCCCUUGGGAGGUUUUGUUGGUGGCUUGUGUUCUGGAGAUGGCUUCUCCCCUGGAGGCUUGUGCUCCGGAGGUGGCUUCUGAAAUGGCGGGGGCUUGGGGUAAUGAGCAAGAGAUGGAGUACUGGUGAGAACCACCAUUCCAAGCAACAAUACUAGCAAGCAUGUGGGAGACAUCUUUGAGUAGUUGUAGCUAAGAUGGCGCAACACUGUAGGCAUUGGGUGGCCUUUUAUAAAGGGCUGGACCCAACAGCCAUAUGACACGUGUCAUGAUGACAAAUGAAGUUGAGGGGAUCCAGAUGGGUCCUACUGAGUCGAAAACUUGCACUAAUUGAUCUGGUGAGAUGACUAUUUCUGUCCUUUUGCCCUUCUCGGCCACCCUGUGCUGUUUUCCUUUUGCACGAUUUUCGUUGCCAAACAAGCAAAUAAUAUUUCGCCAAGAAAGAGGAGAGUGAAUGUGGAAUGCAUCAAGUCCCAUCAAGGAUGGCAGAGAAGAAAUAGAAGAUUGCCCAACUGUGAUAAACAUAGCAUACACGUAGCACCAGGAACUUCAUUUACUUCCAUCUAAUGGAACAUAACAAUCUUCUAAAGUUUUUGCAUGAUUUUGUUAUAUGUCUCUUAGCCUAAAGUUGGAAAUGCGCAACAAAUUUUGUCACUUCUCUAUUUCCCACUGAUGAUGUUAAUUAGCCUUCAUAGAUAUCAUCCUUUCUACAAAGUGCUUCAUUUGUGUGUUAUUGUAAAGUGUAAGAAAAGUAAUUGAACAUGUUCUUUUUCCUUUCAUAGAUGACUUUUGAUGUGCAUUUUAAAAGCAGCGCUGUGAGUCGGUGACCUUGAUUCACACGGAAACUAAGGCUCCUAUAGGACCCACUUUUAGCUGGUUAGGGGUGAAGAAAAUAUCAACUUUUCAGAGUGAUUUAAGUCAAGGCCAAGCCUCACUGUGUCAUUACUCGUGUGAAUUUUAUAUGCACAUACAUACAUAAAUAAAGUAUGAGACCCAAAUAACACCUUCCCUUUACAAACUUAACCCCAGCCGCUCUCUUUCAAUUCUUUUCACACAAGGGUAUUGACUCUAUAAAGGUCAAGAAAAUCAUAAUUUCCUAGGGUUUACAAGGUAAUUGGCUUAAUGCUAAUGUGAAAACAUAAAAGAUAAUAGUAUAUUGUAAGCUAACGAAUAUUCUAUAGUUAUAAUUAUUUGUGAUGUGCAUAAAUAAAUCUUCAUAUAUAUAAUGGAACAAUGAAUAAAGAACCAAUGAAAAAAUACUAUAUAUCAUUGCUUGGCAUUUAAACCGUAUAUGCUGCUCUUUCUAGCUACUCCAUCCACUGAAAGACAACAAGGUAAUCCAUGUUAUAAUGAUAGAAGAUACUGUCUCUAGGCUUUUUGUGAUGAAAAAUAUAAGAUAUGGGUAGGGUUGACCCUUGUAUGUUUGUCCUAUAAACACUUCAAAGUAACAUAUUUUUCUUCUUUAGCAACUCAUAAUGAUGGGGUUCAUUUGCAUGUCACUGAGUUGAAAAGUUGGACAAUUGCCCAUGUCGCCUUCCUCCUAGAUUCCGUAGUUCACGGGAAGGUAACUCAAGUUUGACAUAUUUUGAAUUCUUUUCACUCGGACGUCUUCAUAACCUGACAAAACAAAAAUGAAAAACAGAGGAUUGGUAUAUUAUUCAUGGUAAGCCUCAAAUUAUAGUAGUAUGAGAAAGGAGAAAAAGAUUUUGGGAACUCCAAUCUGGAUAAUUCUCGUUUCUUCUCUUGAAUAAAAAUUUCACUUACCUAACUUCGUUUGGAGAAAUGGCAUAUUUUAAUUUUGUACGUCAUUGCUAAUAAAUGGAGCAAUUUAGCAUGUUUUGUGACUGAAACUGCAAAUGUCCAAUUGGCAUUUCUUCAUUUCCCACUUAGGAUCUGAUCUUGUAGACCAUAUAACGAUAUGUAUCUGUGCAAGCAUUGAAAACUAAUGUGAACUAUGAGGAGUUACAAGCCACUGGACUGUAGAGCGAGUGCCAAGAUUUAAAUCUUCAGGCUCUAUCUGGGUAAGGGGAGGAUAGCGACCUAACCUUUUACCAAAGGCUUAGAAUUUAGACUUUUGGAAAAAAAUUUCUCAUGUUUUGGCUGGAUUUCUUGUGCUUGGCGCAAAAAGGAGAUGGCCUCAAGAAAUAGCAGACUCACUUUUGUUUUCAGCCCUUAAUAAUUCUCCACUGCUUUCCAUAACUACAUGGGUUAUACAUGCAGUCUGCUGCAAUAUUCCAGUUAUAUUUAUUAUUUCAAAGAGGGUGAAUGACUUCACAUGCAAUAUGUUGCAGUAACAACCCAAAUUUUGGCACACCAUCUUAAGAAUAGAAAAGUAUAAUAAAAGAAAUCAAUCAGAGAAUCACUUUGCAUGCAGUUCAUAGAGUUCGCCCAAAAUGGAGCCACAUGUACGGACAACCCCACAAUAGACAAUCUUCUCUAUACAGUAAUAAAAUACAGAAAUGGUUAAUGAAGCUCUGUAUUUCCUUAUCAUAUAUGACCGGUUGAAAACUCAGCAAGUCUUCCUCAAUCACAGACAGUUGGAGUUGCUUCAUCAAAAUCAUGCCUUCAUUACUGGCUUCAUUUUGGUUUCAAUGUCUGUUCUACCCUUAAAUUGGGUCUCUGCUUACUACCGGGAUAUCCUUUAGCGUCCUGCAAUUCUACUAGAUUAAAGAGAAUGACUUAAUUCUGCAUUCUGCCGUCCCUAGUCCAAGUGGUACUAGAAUUGAUGUUUCCUUUAGUGUCCUUUCUUCAUACUUUCAGGUUCUUCCCUUGUUUCAAUAAUGCUGUUUUCCUUCAUGUUUAACCUCUGUUGAACCACUUAAAACAACACAAUUUGCACACCAAUGUUUCUUUACAGAAAAGACUGUUUGCAAAAAUGCACAUGUUAUAAGGUUAAUGGAAGAAUUAAUUUGGGGAUAAGGGACUAGGAUUGGGCCAAUGAAGUUUGGUGUUAAAUUUUGAUUAUGAUUGCUUUUCAUUAUCAGGUACCUUAUAUUUGCUGAUGCUAUCUGGAACUAAAUUCAAAUCAGACAUUAUCCGAUUACUAACAGGACAUAUCAUGUCCCUCUGCAGAGUUUCUAAACUAACAUGUAUCGAAAUGUGGCCCCAAAAGGAAGGCUAGGAAGAUGGAGGAUUUUGUAGGAAUCGACCAGAAUCAGAUGGAAGAGAGAUAGUCCUGUUGACUUUAAUGGUUGUGAUAGGAACAUGCAUCAUUAUAUGAGAAGUUGCAUGAAUUUAUGUAUCCUGUUAUCGUUCCUUGACGAUUUCCCAAUGCAAUUUCACUGUCCACAAGACUAACCUCUCCAUGCAGUCAAAUGAAUUGUAAUUUCUCUAUUGGUACCAGUAGUACAUUUCAUACCAAACAUAUAGUAAAUAUAAAAUAUAAAUAGAUCAAGGAAAUCUGAAUUGUAGAUAGCACUGCAAGUAACACUCAAUAUUCUCUAUAUAUAAUAAAAUAAACAGUGUCACAAUACUCAUCACCCAGUGGCAAGGGAGAAAAACCUACAAUGAGUACUCAAAUCACCAUUCUCAAACAGAAACAUAGCAGUGACUGAUACAUAGAACCUAUAUGCUCACAGGGAAAGAAUAAGAUGACCAGUGCACAGCGGGCAGCAGCUCUUAUUUUACGUACAACUCAAAUCCCAAACUAACCAAAGUCGCUCAGUUGGGAUGGGUGGGAGAUGGUGGUUUGUGGGAUGGCUUCUGGGUAGGAGCUGGUGGCUUCUGUCCCUUUGGUGGUUUGCCUAAUGAGCUUGGUGGCUUGUGCUCCGGGAGUUGUUUCUCUCCCUCGAGUAGGUUUCGAGUCUUGUCAGAUGGCUUGUGUUCUGGUGGUGGCUUCUCUCCCUGGGGUGGUUUGCCGAAUGGGCUUGGUGGCUUGUGUUCGGGGAGUGGCUUCUCUCCCUGGAGAAGGUUACGAGUUUUGUCAUAUGGCUUUUGUUCUGGUGGUGGCUUCUCUCCCUGGGGUGGUUUGCCGAAUGGGCUUGGUGGCUUGUGUUCGGGGAGUGGCUUCUCUCCCUGGAGAAGGUUACGAGUUUUGUCAGAUGGCUUGUGUUCUGGUGGUGGCUUCUCUCCCUGGGGUGGUUUGCCGAAUGGGCUUGGUGGCUUGUGUUCGGGGAGUGGCUUCUCUCCCUGGAGAAGGUUACGAGUUUUGUCAGAUGGCUUUUGUUCUGGUGGCGGCUUCUCUCCCUGGGGUGGUUUGCCAAAUGGGCUUGGUGGCUUGUGUUCGGGAACUGGCUUCUCUCCCUUGGGAGGUUCAGUUGGUGGCUGCUGUUCCGUAGGUGGUUUCUUCACCGGCGGCUUGUGCUCCGGAAGCGGCUUCUCUACCUGGAGAAGCUUACGAGUUUUGUCCGAUGGCUUGUGUUGUGGUGGUGGCUUCUCUCCCUGGGGUGGUUUGCCAAAUGGAGUUGGUGGCUUGUGUUCGGGGAGUGGCUUCUCUCCAUUGGGAGGUUUAGUUGGUGAUUGGUGUUCCGUAGGUGGUUUCUGAAGUGGGGGAUGCUUGGGGUAGUCAGCAAGAGACGAGGUAGUGAGAACCACCAGUCCCAGCAGCAACACUAGCAAGCAUGUGGAAGACAUCUUUGAGUUCAGGCUGAGAUCUGUGCAAGGAUAACAGAAUUAGGUGGCCUUUUAUAGAGGCCUGGACCCAACACCCAUAUGACACGUGUCAUGCACUCAUGGUGACACAUAAUUCUAUGGGACCAUUUGGGUCCUACAGAAGUUGCAAAGUUGGACUACUGAGGUGUGAUCACAACUUUUGUCCUUAUUGCUUUCUCUGCGGCCAUUGCACGAUUUCCUUUAGCAUCAUUUUCUUGGCUAAAUAAGCGUAUUAUAUUUGUGGCAGACCGUCCACGUGUCAUAAACAGAUAUAUUAUAAUAAUGUAGUAUGCUUUUCUCCAAUGGAACAUGACACUCUUCUAAGUCUUGUUUUAAAUAUUGUGCAGGAUUACUUUAUACGUUGCAGUUCCAAGUCAAAAUUGGUGGGCAAACGUUGGCCUUUUUUCAUUUCACCUAAGAUUAAUGCUCACCUGGGAUAGGCACUACAUGACUUAUCUGCUCUUUUACUGUAAAGUUGCUUUGUGUAUGAGAUACACCUCCCCUGCACACCCUCAACAUUCGUUGCUCUGUUUUCCUUGUGUCCAGACGAGGAUAUUAAUUGGAGGCUGACAAAACGACUGCUAGCCCAGGAUUUACAAGGUCCUGGUUUGAGGCUUCGGUGAAAGUAUUUUUGAAAAGACACACAUAGAGAUAGUGCGUUUGGUGCAAUGCAGCACUGUGAGCCAUUCUGACGCGUUCUUAAUUUCAAAACUAAUGAAUGCUUCAAAAUUUUAAGAAGUGACAUUUCCAAAUAUUUGAGUUCGUUUAAUUGAACAUUGGAUAACUAGUGAUCAUAGAUUAUUAUCUGUGCUUGGCACUAUAAGAGGGUAUAUGCUUCUUUUUCUGGCCCCUCCUUCAAGGGAGGAGGGACAAUGUGAUCUGUAACGUUAGAAGCUAUUCCAUGUCAUCUUUGGGCUCAGUUCAAAACUAAAAGAUAAUGGGGGGGGGGGGGGGGGGCAUAUCAUUUUAUAUUUCUUCUAGAAGGUUUGUUCUGGAAAUAUUUCACAGGAGCAUAUCUUUUUCUUCUAUUACGUCAUCCGCAGCCUCCAAUAGGUCGGUUAACAAGCCACCGAGUUGAAAAGUUGGAAAAAUGGGAACACAGCCCGCCUCUUGUAUUCAGUAGUUAAAUAAAAGGUCACUAGAAGUGAGAUCCCUUUUGGCGUCUUGAUUUUCAAUCCAGCACCUCUGUGACCUGACAAACCAAAAAAACUAAAAAAUAAAAAACAGUACGUGGGUUGGUGUUAAGCAUCAAGACAUGUUAAUGAAAGAAGGUAGAGAAUAGGAUAUUGAAAUCCCAAUCCUGAUAACAUGAUUUUCUUUGCUAACAACCAUAUUAUAUUUUAUCAAGAAAGAGUAAUGCAUGUGGCGUCCAUCAAGACCCAUUAGAGUUCCGCUAAAGCUAUAGUUCUGUCAACGUUAUCAUUUACGUUUCCUCUAGAUAAUGGCAUUUUCCUCUAAAGCUCUUGCACCAUUAGGCUUCAAGUCAAAAUUUCACAUGUGAACUUUGGAAAUUUUCUCCAUUUGCCCCUAAGGAUACAGUUAGAAUUGACUUAAAAUCCUGAUUGAUAUGUACUAUUAACCAAAGAAUAUUGUAUAUAAUAAUUGAAAUAUUGUUGAUUCAUCGUGGAAAUACAUUUUGUAAGGAAAGUUGUUGAGAAUUUAGUAUGCUAUAUGGAGAAAAAAGUCAUGACUUAAGGUUGUGUAUGUAUAUUCUAUAUCAAAUAUUAGGUAGGAAUGUGGGAAAGAGCAGAGUGUAAUGAUAAGAAACAAAGAAAUAUAAGAUAUUCUUGAAAGUGGAAAAUAUAAAAUGGCUAACGAGUCAAAUUUAUGAUGCGUAAGGGGGAUCAUGUCACAUAAGAAAACCAUGGCAUACUAAAGACGUACGUGUGGUAUGGAGUAAUAAUUUUGUUAAAAUAAGUUUCUUGUUGGAGUACAUUAGGUGACUAUUCAUAACGUAUCAAAUUAAAGAGUCAAGUGCAUCAAUGAAGGCAUAUGUAGAAAAUUUGUUUGUGACAUGUACCAUAAAGAUAAGAUUGACUUGAUAGAAUUUAGUCUAAGUAGGAGUUGUUAAAGGUGUCUUAAAUUUCUAAUUGAUGUAUAUUUUUUUCUAAAAAAAUAUUAUAUAGAUAUUUUAAUAAAUGAUUAAUUCUUUGUAAAAAUACUUACAUAAUAAAAAACAUCAUUAAAAAUAUCUUUAUAAAUAUUUUAAGUUACAAGAAGGAAAAAAACCACUGUGAGAUAAUGAUGAACAUGCAACACUGUACCAAGUAAAUAAAAAUGUGAUAAAAAAAAAAGAGAAACACUCGAUAAAGGAAGGCUCGUAUAUAAAGAGUAAUAUUUUUAAUCAUAUGAUAGAAUGAUUUUCUCUCAUUCAUGAAUAUAGGCAAGAUUGGGGAACCAUUAUAAAAUUUUGUACACCUCGUGUAAAUUGAUGUUUGUCUUCAUAUUUUACACCAACAAAUGACAUUGAAGUUGUCAUUGAUAAAAGGGAAAAGGCAUGCCUCCACACCAUGUGCUUGAUUCGAAUGGUUCAAGUUUGAAGAAUUUUCUCCGGAAGAUCUAAAACAUUUUCGCCUUUAAAUUUCAUUUGAUUAUUAAUAUCCGAAAAAAUAGUUAAAUACUCUUUCUAUUUUUGAGUUGUUGAAUUUUUUGAAAGUUUUUAUAUUUGUUAUCAAGAAUUUCUAUUUUAUUAAGGGUGAAUAUUUAUAAAUAAGAUAUUAUAUAAUAUUUGGAUAAGAGAGAAUGGUGGAAUAUAAUAAAGUUUUAAUCCUUCCCAAUUUUGAACCUUUUUUUUUUUUUUUGAUAUAAUCGCCUUUCUCUUGCAAUCCUAUUAUCAGGUACCUUAUAUUUGCUGAUGCUAUCUGGAACUAAAUUCCAAUCAGGCAUUGUCCAAUUACUAAUAGGACAGAUCAUAUCUCUCUGUUUCUAAACUAACAUGUAUCGUAAUGUGACCUCAUAAGGAAGGCUAGGAAGAUGGAGGAUUUUGUGGGAAGCGACCAGAAUCAGAUGGAAGAGAGAUAGCCCUGUUGACCUAAUGGCUGUAAUAGGAGAAGCGUGUGGUUUUAUGGGACUUAACUGAUACUAAACCUGUAUGAUGCUUGGAGUGGUGUUUCUUUCAUUUUGUUAAGAAAAUAUGGCAGCAUACAUGCUUUCAACUGAGUGCAUCAGAGCAUCCAUAACAGAUGGUCUGCAACCCUAGGUGCAUGCCACUUUCUGACUGAUAAUGAAAUUGUCAGGUACCUGGCCUUGACUAAGCUCAACAGCAUCACAUAAAGAGAAGCUUUCAUACUUAGAUUACUGUUUAAAGUUUUUGCUUAUUUGAUUUCUUAAUGCCAUUAUGACAUUAUUGAUUCAAUUCUGCUUCCGAUUUUCGAAGUUCUGGGCAUCUACUGAUUGCAUCAUUAUAUGAGAAGUUGCAUGAGUUUAUGUAUCCUGUUAUUGUUCCUUUGCGAUUUCACUGCUCACGGGACUAACCUCUCCAUUCAGUCGAAAUGAAUUGUAAUUUCUUUACUGGUAGCAGUAGUACUUUUCAUAGCAAAGAUAAUAGAAAAUAUGAAAUAUAAAUAGAAGGAAAUCUGGAUUGUAGAUAGCACCAUAAGUAACACUCAAUAUUCACUACAUAAUAAAUAGACAGUGUUACAUAGGUAGAGAAACCUACAAUGAGUACUCAUCACCAUUCUCAAACAGAAACAUAGCAGCGACUUAUACAUAGAACCUAUAGGCUCGCAGGGAAAGAGUAACAUGAUAAGUUCACAGCGGGUAGCAGCUCUUAUUUUACGUAUUACUCAAAAUCUCAAACUAACCAAAGUCACUCAGUUGGGAUGGGUAGGAGAUGGUGGUUUGUGGGGUGGCUUCUGGGUAGGAGCUGGUGGCUUCUUUGUUGGAGUUGAAGGAGGCAUAUUCUUCUGAGGUGGCUUGUAUGACUCUUCGGCACUCUCUGCAGGAGGGUGCCCAGGGUUGUGACCAGAAGGAGGUGGCUUCUGUCCCUUUGGUGGUUUGCCUAAUGGGCUUGGUGGCUUGUGCUCCGGGAGUUGUUUCUCUCCCUCGAGUAGGUUUCGAGUUUUGUCAGAUGGCUUGUGUUCUGGUGGUGGCUUCUCUCCCUGGGGUGGUUUGCCGAAUGGGCUUGGUGGCUUGUGUUCGGGGAGUGGCUUCUCUCCCUGGAGAAGGUUACGAGUUUUGUCAGAUGGCUUUUGUUCUGGUGGCGGCUUCUCUCCCUGGGGUGGUUUGCCAAAUGGGCUUGGUGGCUUGUGUUCGGGAACUGGCUUCUCUCCCUUGGGAGGUUCAUUUGGUGGCUGGUGUUCCGUAGGUGGUUCCUUCACCGGCGGCUUGUGCUCCGGAAGCGGCUUCUCUACCUGGAGAAGCUUACGAGUUUUGUCAGAUGGCUUGUGUUGUGGUGGUGGCUUCUCUCCCGGGGGUGGUUUGCCAAAUGGACUUGGUGGCUUGUGUUCGGGGAGUGGCUUCUCUCCAUGGGGAGGUUUAGUUGGUGGUUGGUGUUGCGUAGGUGGUUUCUGAAGUGGGGGAUGCUUGGGGUAGUCAGCAAUAGACGAGGUAGUGAGAACCACCAGUCCCAACAGCAACACUAGCAAGGAUGUUGAAGACAUCUUUGAGUUCAGGCUGAGAUCUGUGCAAGGAUAAAAGAUUUAGGUGGCCUUUUAUAGAGGGCUGGACCCAACACCCAUAUGACACGUGUCAUGCACUCAUGGUGACACAUAAUUCUAUGGGACCAUUUGGGUCCUACAGAAGUUGCAAAGUUGGACUAUUGAGGUGUGAUCACAACUUUUGUCCUACUUGCUUUCUCUGCGGCCAUUGCACGAUUUCCUUUAGCAUCAUUUUCUUGUCUAAAUAAGCGUAUUAUAUUUGUGGCAGACCGUCCACGUGUCAUAAACAGAUAUAUUAUAAUAAUGUAGUAUGCUUUUCUUCAACGGAACUUGACACUCUUCUAAGUCUUGUUUUAAAUACUGUGCAGGAUUACGUCAUAAGUUGCUUGUUCCAAGUCAAAAUUGGUGGGCAAACGUUGGCCUUUUUUCAUUUUCCCUAAUAUUAAUGCUCACCUGGGAUAGGCACUACAUGAUUUAUCUGCUCUUUUACUGUGAAGUUGCUUUGUGCAUGAGUUACACCUCCCCUGCACACCCUCAACAUUUGUUGCUCUGUUUUUCUUGUGUCCAGACGAGGAUAUUAAUUGGAGGCUGACAAAACGACUGCUAGCCAAGGAUUUACAAGGUCCUGGUUUGAGGCUUUCACGAAAGUAUUUUUGAAAAGAUACACAUAGAGAUUGCGCGUUCGGUGCAAUGCAACAAUGUGAGCCAUUCUGAAGUCUUAAAUUUCAGAUUAAUGAAUGCUACAAAAUUCUAAGAAGGGCCGUUUCCAAAUAUUUGAGUUCAUUCAUCCGAACAUCGGGUAUAUGCUUCUUUCUCUAGCCCCUCCUUGAAGGGAGGAGGGACAAUGUGAUCUGUAUCGUUAGAAGCUAUUCCAUGUCGUCAUCUUUGGGCUCAGUUCAAUACUAAAAGAUAUGGGCGGGGCCCUUAUCAUUUUAUAUUUCUUCUAGAAGGUUUAUUCUGGAAAUCUUUCACAGAAACAUAUCUUUUUCUUCUCUACGUGAUCCGUGGUUUGAAAGUUGGAAAAAUGGGUCCGUUAACAAGCCACCGAGUUGAAAAGUUGGAAAAAUGGCAACACCGCCAACCUCUUGUAUUCGAUAGUUAAAUAAAAGGUCACUGGAAGUGAGAUCCCUUUUGGCCUCUUGAUUUUCAUUCCAGCAUCUCUAUGGCCUGAUAAAUUAAAAAACUAAAAAAAAAGACAGUACGUGGGUUGGUGUUAAGCAUCAAGAGUCAAGACAUGAUAAUGGAGAGAAAGGAUAUUCAAAUUCCAGUUCUGACAACAUGAUUUUCUUUGCUGAACUACCAUAUUAUAUUUGAUCAAGAAAGAGUAGUGCAUGUGGCCAGGAUCAAGACAUACAUUAAUUUCCACAUGAUGAAGACAGUUUCUGAGAGUUUCUUCUAAAGCUCUUGCGCGAGUAGGCUUCAAGUCAAAAUCUCCCAUGUAAACACUGGUUUUUCUUUCAUUGCCACUAAGGAUGCAGUUAAUAUUGACUUAAGAUCCUACGUGAUAUAUUUUUUUAAAAGAGCUAUAUUGUAGAUAAUAUUUGAAAUAAUGUUGAUUCGUUGUGGAAAUAUAUUUGUAAGGAAAGUUGUUGACAAUUUAAUAUAGUAUAAGAAGAAAAAAGUUAUCAACUAGCUAGAGAUGAGUAUGUAAAGUGAGGCUCACGAUUCAACGCGUAAAUAUAAGAUAUUUUAAGGCUCAAUAGUUAUGAUAUCUAUUUUAUUUUUUGUAUCUCAUAUAUUCAAAGAUAUAGUAAAAUGAUUUUACAUAUAUAUAUAUAUAUAUAUAUGAACAUAACUAUUUGUGCCAAUUGAUUUUUAUCUUUAUUUUGUAUAUUAGUAAUUAUAUUAAAGUUUUUACUAAUAUAAUAACUAAUAUAAAAGCUUUUUCUAAAAGAGUCAACAGAGCAAAACACUUAUUAUAAAAAAUAAUUUUGAUUGAAGGUGGAGUCAAUUAUUCUUUAUUUAACAUGUAAUGCAUACGGCGUGUACUUCAUAACUAAAGUAUAUAAGUGUAACAUCUCUUAUAUAUUCUCAUUCAAUCUCGAAAGUGGAAAUUUUAAAAAGAUUAAACGGUUCAAAUUUGUCGUGCAUAAAGGGGAUCAUGUCACAUAAGCAAACCAUGGCAUACCAAAGACAUAGGUAUGGACUAAGAAUUUUUUUCAAAUAAGUUUCUUAUUAGGGUACAUUAAUAGGUGACUUUUUAUGACAUAUCAAAGGAGUCAAGUGCACCAAUAAAAACAUAUAUAGAAAAUUCAUGCAUGACAUGUAUCACUAAGAGAAGAUUGACUUGAUAGAGUUUAAUCCAAAUAGGAGAUUGUUAAAAGGUGUCUCAAAUUCUUGAUUGAUAUAUAUUUUUUUUAUUAAAAAGGUUAUUAUAUAGAUAUUUCAAUAGACUAUUAAUUCUUUGUAAAAAUAGUUAUAUAAUGAGGAUGGUGAUUAAAAAUAUCUCUAUCAAUAUUUUGGAUUAUAAAAAGAAAAAAAAUGAGAUAAUGAUAAACAUAUAAAACUUGUACAAGUAGAUAAAGAUGUGAUGAAAGACACUUGAUGAAUGAAGGCUUUGUAUUUCAAGAUAUAAAUAUAUGGAGCAAAACUCUUAAUUAUAUGAUCAAAUGAUUCUCUCAUAUUCAUGAAUAUAAGCAGGAUUGGGGAACCAUGAUAGAAUCUUAUAUGCCUCUCCAUGUAGAGUGAUCGAUGUUUAUCUUCAUAUUUUACACCAGUGAAUGACAUUGAAACUCUUAUUGAUAAAAGGGAAAAGGCAUGGCCUCCACCCCAAGAAAAACAAGUAACCUCGGUUUAAAUCACUAGUCUACACCCCGAAGAGAGAACUAGCCAAACCUACUAAAAGAGAAACUUAACAAUUUAGAAAGAAACCGUCCAUGAUAAAGGGCCCCUAAAGGUCCAAUUCAGUGAGGUCGUGAACAAAAACACUUUCAUGUCAAAACAGAGAUAGGUACCACCAAAAUGUAAAGGGAAAGAUGUAAACCACGUCGAACUUUGGUAAUCAAUGGUAAAGAUAGCAUGAUAGCUAAAAGCACUAAAGCUGUGCUUGGUAUGCAAAAAUGAAAAGUGGAAAUCAGCGUCUUAUUCUUUUUCACCUUUAUUCACAUAUUAGGAUAACUAAUAUCUAAUGUUUUUUAUGUCUCAAAUUCUAUUCCAUGUUAUGGUAAACUUUCAUCUUGUUUAGAUCACUUUUGUCUGGUUUGGGCUCAAGACGAUAAGCCUAUAGAGACUUCAUAUUGGGUUGAAUCGAUGCCCUUGAUCUGAUCUGUUCGUUAGAAAAAUCUGAAUUAUUAUAAGCAUUUAGAUAAAAAAUAAAUAAAUGUGAAACACAAACUACUCCCUGCACAACCUUGACCCUAGUUACUCAGUUUCACUGCUCACAGGACUAACCUCUCCAUUCAGUCGAAAUGAAUUGUAACAAGAAGAUUUUUGACAGGAGGACGGUAGUUUAAAAUAAUAAUUUCUAAAGUACUUUUGUGAAAAAAAAUAAUUCCAAACGUGGAUUUUAUCAAGUAAAAAGAAAAAAAAAAGUUAUUUUCUUUUAAAAUCUGUUCUUCUAAAGAUGAUAUAUAUACCAAAAAAAAAAAUUGUUUUCUGAAGGUAAAAUUUUUAAAAUUCAUUUUUAAAAAAAUUUACACACUAAAAUUAUCUUUUCAAGAGAAGAUUUUUUUAAUUUUAAAUAAUUAUUAAUUUAUAAUUAAUUUGUUAUUAAUUAUUUAUUAAUUUUUUUAUUUGAAAAAUGCAUUUAUAAAAAACAAAUUUGUUAUUAAUUUAUUAAAUAAUUUUUACAAAAUAAAUAAUUUUUUUUUAUUUUAAUUUUAAAAUUAAUUUUAUUAUAUAAAUUUUAAAAUUAAAAAUAUUAAUAUUUAAUUUAAAAUUUAACUAUAAAAGGAAUAAAAUAUAGAAAAAUAAAUUAAUUUAUUAUUCAAUAAAUUAAUUUUCAAUAAAAUUUUCAGCAUUAAGAGAUAAAUUUUUAAGUAUUAAUCAAUUUAAAAAGAAAUAAUGAUCAUUUGUAUAUUAAGAUAUUUUAUUUAGUAAUUAUGAAUGAUAAACAACUAAAGUAAUUUGAAAAAAUAAUAAAAUAUUUAAAAAAUAAUAAUUUAAUACACGUAAAAUUAGAAAUGAUUAACUAUUUUUUAUUAAGAAAAAAUUGAGGAAAUAUUUUGUUAUUUAAAAUUUUUUAUUUGUUUUCAAUUUUUAAUGUUAUAGGUUUCAAGAAAAUUGAUCAAAUAAAAAUUAAGAAGUCAUUUUUUCAAAAACUAUAUAUCUAAAUAAAAGCCUUGAAAUUCAAAUACACAAUAUCAUAAAUAUAAACACCAAGUCAAUCCUUAAUUAUCAAAUGUUUUUAAUAUUAAAGAAUCAAAAUCACCUACUAUCAUGAUAAUAAGAAAACCAAUAAUAUUGUUCAUAUAAAUACUAAAAAGCUAACAAAUAUCCCAAACAAUUAAUAAAGUAUCAAACAUGAUAAAAAGUCAAUUAUUAUCAUGAAUGCAAAAAAUCAAUAAUUUUGUUUAUAUGAACCAUCAACAAAGAAAAAAAAAAUCAAUAUCUAAAUAUUAAACAUAAUUUAUAUUUUUAUAAAUAUUAUUGUUGAUAAAUAUCUUAACAAUUAUAAUUUUAGUAAAUAAAAUUAAUUAAUUUUAGUUUAAGAAUUAUUUUUUUAUACUUUCGUAUUCUUAUCAAAAAUCCCCAUUUUGCAUGUCUCCUUUGGCAUGACUUUCUUACCUAAACAAGCAUAUAUAUAUAUAUAUAUAUAUAAAAUAUUUGGUUAAGAAAGAGUACUAAAGUUUAUAUGGCACACAUCAAGAUAGAAACAGAAGUGGAAGAUAAUCCAAAUGUAUGAACAGAUAUAUUAUAUCCAUGUAGUGGUAGUGACUUCAUUAUUUACUUUUAUCUAAUGGAGCAUGACACACUUCUUCUGAAUAUUUUGCACGAUUAUGUUAUGUGUCAGCUUGUUCUAAGUCAAAACUAGUGAUAAAAAUCGGUUUUUUUUGCAUUUCCUUCAUGAAGAUGGCACCUGGAUGGGGCACUACAUGAGUGGCAUAGCACGAAGUGAUUUAUCUGCUCCCUUUACUAUAAAGUGCUUUGUGUAUAAGUUACACCUCCCCUGCACUGCCUCAACAUUUGUUGUUCUGUCUUCCGUCUGUCCAAACGAGGACAAACGUAUGUUGUAGGUUGACAAAACCACAGCUAGCCUAGGAUUUGCAAGGAUCUAGUUUGAUUCGUAUGCAAAAGGAUUGGUGAAAAGAUUCACAAAGAUAAUGCUUUUUGCAAUGCAAUCUUGUUCUAAUUCAACAGUGUGGACCAUUUUCAUGUAAUGCUUCAACUAGAUGUCAGUUUCAUGAAUUUUUGUUCAUCUAAUUGAUCACUGGAUAGGCCAUAACCCGAAGAAAUUCAAAAUUCCCUUCAGUACUGUAGCUAAGGAAAGAUCCCUAUCUACCACUGGGAUUUUAAGAGGGUAAAAAUGUAGGUGGGUGCCUAUAUCAUUUGCACUUCACUAUAGGCCUCUUUGGGAAGAUUUCUUCUGAAGACAUUUCAAAGAAACAUAUUUUUCUCUUCUCUCCGUAAACGGCAGCUGCAAGUCAGUCCAUUCACAGGCCACCGAGUUGAAAAGGCUGGAAAAUUGGCCAAAGCACCCGCCUCCUGGAUUCCAUGGGUAAGGAAAAGGUCACUGGAGGUGUGAUCCCUGUUGGCCUCUUGAUUUCCAUUCCGCCAUCUAUAUGACCUGAUAACCCAAAAACACAGAAGGAAAACGUCACCUGGGUUCAUAGUAAGCAUCAAGUCAUGAUAGAGACCAGACAACAUGACCAACAAAGAGUAGCGAAUGGGGCCAACAUCAAGCCCCAUUACGGUUAGAAGAUGGAAGAAGUAGAAGACAAUCCAAUUCUGAUAGAUUCGGGCAAAUGUAGUGCUGUUCAAACUUAAUCAUUUACUAUUUCUUCAUGAAUCACGGCAUUUUUCUUCUGAAAAUUUUCCAAGAUUAGGCCUCUGAAGAAAAAUUUCAUAUGUAAAUUGGUAUAUUAAGGAAAAGGCGUUACAAAGGUGAAAAAAAACCAAUCAAAUCUUAUAUAUGACAUCUCAAAAAUAUGAACUUGCUAUAAAUAUUUAAAAUCAAAAUCUUGCACAUCACCUCGUAGUACGAACUUGCUAUAAAACUUGAAAAUCAAGAAGAAAGGGGCAGUAUUGGACGAGACUACUUAGCACAUAUUAUUAUGAUGUUUUUUCAUUUUCUUAAUGUUGUUUUUAUGUCUUAAAUUCUAUUAUUCUAUGUUACGGUAAACAUUCAUCUUGUUUGUGUGGAAUAGGAUCACUUUUCUCUGGGUUGAGUCGAUGCCCUUAGUUAAUUUGUUCAUUUGAAUAAACUAAAUUAUUAUAAGUAUUUAGAUAAGAAAAACGUGAUACAUAAAUUACGCCUCUCGGCACAACUUCAACACUGGUUACUCUGUUUCAGUUUCCUCACACAAGAUUAUUGGUUCUAGGGUUUAUUUGGUUUUGGUUUGAUUCUAAUUGCUAAACUUUCUCAAGGAAGAUGUUAUAUAGGGAGUGAGAAACCUUCACUCUUGGCUACCUCCAAGAGAAGAGCAAGUGGUCUGAAUCAAAGAUAUACUGCUCACUUUUUCUUCUUCUAAGGACAGCUAUGACCUUGCUUUAAGGUUCGAAUAGCCUAAUGCAACCUCCCAUUUCUCAAGUCAGCUGAUGAUGUAAGUCACCUUGGCUUUCCACAUUCAUACGGUGAGGACGUUUGUGGGUGUAAUUCUCUUAACAGUUUUCAUUUUAUAUGGAAAAAUUCAUAAUUAAGGGUAAUUACUGAUUCCAUUUGACAGUGACCAAGUUUAAAAUAUUAAUUCAUAUAUUAAAUGCACAUUAAAAAAUCAUGGAAUAAAUAUAUUUACUAAUAUAUAGUUCUUUUGCCAUGUUCUGUCACAGAAGCAUCGAACUUUCCCUAGAAAUUUUUGCAUGGUAUUCUACUUAUGAUUUUGAAAACUCUAGGCACCUGAGGCCACUAAUUGCAUGGUUGGAUGAGGAGCUGCAUGAGAUUAUGUAUCGUGUUGUUCCUUAACUACAAAUAUCAGUUUUAAGUAGCAUCUCCAUGUGACAUUUUCCUGAUGCAAUUUCGCUGUCCACCAACAAAUUUCACCAUGCAGCAAGAUGAAUUGUAAUUUCUUUAUUGUUAUCAACAGCUUUAAUUAAUCUUGAUAUAUAUAUAUAACUUAGUAGAAGUAUAUUAAUCUAGAUUGUAGUUGCACUAAGAUAAUAGGCAAUAUUAUAACAGUGCCACAAUGCUCAUCGCCAAAUAGAAAGGUAGAAAAACUACAAUGAGUAACUCACAACAUUCUCAAACAGGACAUAGCGGCGACUGAUACAUAGAACACUAUUGGCACUCAGGAAAUGAUAAGAUCAGUGCCCAGCAGGCAGCACGUCUUAUUUUACAUACUACUUAAAACUAACCAAAGUCAUUCAGUUGGGAUGGGUGGGAGAUGGUGGUUUGUGCGGUGGCUUUUGGGUAGUUGGUGGCUUCUUUCCUGGAACUGAUGGUUUUUUUGUUGGAGUUGAAGGAGGCUUAAUCGUCUGAGGUGGCUUGUAUGAGUCUUCAGCACUCUCUGCGGGAGGGUGCCCAGGGUUGUGACCAUAAUGGGGUGGCUUCUCUCCCUUAGUUGGUUUGCCAAGUGGGCUGGCUGGCUUGUGCUCCGGGAGCGGCUUCUCUCCCUUAGGUGGUUUGCCAAAUGGGCUUGCUGGCUUGUGCUCUGGGAGCGGCUUCUCUCCCUCAAGAAGUUUACGGGUUUUGUCAGAUGGCUUGUGUUCUGGUGGUGGCUUCUCUCCUUGGGGUGGUUUGCCAAAUGGACUUGGUGGCUUGUGUUCGGGGAGUGGCUCCUCUCCCUUGGGAGGUUUAGUUGGUGGCUGGUGUUCCAUAGGUGGUUUCUCAACCGGGGGCUUGUUCUCCGUUGGUGGUUUAUGAACUGGGGGAUGCUUGGGGUAGUCAGCAAGAGACGGGGUGGUGAGAACCACCAGUCCCAGCAGCAACACUAGCAAGUAUGUGGAAGAGUACAUCUUUGAGUUCAGGCUGAGAUUUGUGCGAGACUUGAAGAAUUAGGUGGCCUUUUAUAGCUGGCUGCACCCAACACUCACAUGACACGUAUCAUGGUGACACAUGUGCUAUGGGUCCAUUUGGGUCCUACAGAAGCUGAAAACUUUUGACUAUUGAGGUGUGGUCACAACUUUUGUCCCUAUUGCUUUCUCCGCAACCGUUUUACAUGUUUCCUUUGGCAUAAUUUUCUAAGCUAAACAAGCAUAUAUCAUAUUUGGUUAAGAAAGAGUAAAGUGUAUAUGGCACACAUCAAGGAAGAGAAACAGAAAAAGUGGGAGACAAUCAAUUGUGAUAAACAGAUAUAUUAUAUUCAUGUAGUACUAGUGACUUUAUCAUUUACUUUUAUCCAAUAGAUCAUCACUCUUUCUUCUAAAUAUUUUGGAGGAUAAUGGUACAUGUUGCUUGUUUCCAAGUCAAAAUUGGUGGCAAAAAUCGGCAUGAUACGAAAGGAUUGGUGAAAAGAUUCACAUAGAUGGUGCUUUGUGCAAUGCAGUCUUGCUCUAAUUCAACAGAGUGGACCAUGGUGAUGUAUUUUAAAUUUUAAAUUUUAAAUUAAUGCAUGCUUCAAAGUUUUAACUAGAUGUCACUUCCAUGGAUUUUUGUUCAUUUAAUUGAGCACAGGAUAGGCUAUCAAACUUGAAGUAAUAUAAAAAUCCCUUCAUUACUGUAACUAAUGAAAGAUCAUUAUCUGCGCUUGGUAUUUUGCCAAGGUAUUUGCUGCUCUUUCUAGCCCUGUCUUACAGUUAAGGACAAUGUGAUCUAGUUAACCUUAGAAGCUAUUCCAUGUCAGAUACAAGAGAUCAAGCACAUUAUCUUUGGGCUCAGUUCAAAACUAUAAUAUAUGGGUGGGGUGGAGGCCCAUAUCAUUUGCAUAUCACCACUAUUGGUUUAGUUUGGAAGGUUUCUUCUGGAAGAUUGCUGCUUUCUGGAAUCAUUUCAAAGAAAUAUAUCUUUUUGUUCUCUUGGUGACGAGCAGCGGCAAUCAAGUCUGUUGACAAACAACCGAGUUGAAAAGUUUGAAAAUUGGUCACAGCCCACGUCCAUGGUUAAGGAAAAGGUCACUGGAAGUGAUCCCUUCUGGGCCUCUUGAUUUCCAUUCUGACAUCUAUAUGACCUGAUAAAUAGAAAGAAAAAAAAACAGAAGAAAAGCGGCACCCGGGUUCAUAGUAAGCAUCAAGACAGGAUACUGAAAGAAGGGAGAAAGGAGAUUGCAAGUCCAAUCCUGAUAAAAUGAUCAACAAAGAGUAUCAAAAUGGGGCCAACAUAAAGACCCAUUGAGGUUAGCAGAUGGCAUGGCAUUUUUCUCCUUAAGUUUUCCAUGAUUAGACUUGAAGUCAAAAUUUCACAUGUAAAUUUGUAUUUCUACAUUUCCCACUGACGACACCCAACUUCAACUUGAGUUAGAAUAACAUUGUGUGAACUUAUCUGGCCCUCAAAAUUUACUGUGAAGUGCUUUCUGCGUGUGAAGAUUCAGAAAAGCACCAAGGGAACAUGUAUGGUCUGCCUUUUUCUGAUGUUAUGUUUGUCUCUAAUUCUGUUCCAUGUCAUGGUAAAUGUUCACAUUGCUUGUAUGGAACACACCAGGAUCACUUUUUCGGGUUUAUUUUGAGGCUUCAUAUUGGGUUCAUAUUGGGUUCAAUGCUUUUAAUGUGUUCAUUAGACAAAUCUGAAUUAUCAUAUGCAUUUAGAUAAGAACAAUAAUGUGAAACCCUAGUUACACCUCCCCUGCAUAACCCCAACCCUGCUUACUCUAUUUCAGUUUACUCACACAAGUUUUACCGGUUCUUAUAAGUCAAGAAAAGGCAACUGAUGUUGGAUUGACUCUCUUCCAUGUAUAAAAAGCAACUUUUAUAUAUACAUAAAAUAACUUCUUCCCCUCACCAAUGUGGGAUAUCAUGGAUUUAUUCUGGAAACACAUCAAAGGAACAUCUUUUCUCUUGGGUGACCCUAAGUGGUGAGUCAGACCAUUUGCAUGCCAUUGAGUUGCACAGUUGGAUAAAUGCACCUACCUCCUGGGCUCCAGAGUUAAAAGGGUGGAUCCCUGGAUCGCAACCCUCUUGGCAUCUUGGUUUCCAUUCCAACAUCCACAUGACUUGACAAAACAAAAAACAGAAUAAAAUCAUCACUAUUUUCAUGCUAAGCACCAAUACAUGAUGGAAAUCAUUGCUUAAAGAUUUGGGGUCAUUUAGGUUUUGACUGCCUCCUAACACCUCACCUAAUCACAAGUUUUUAUGCUUACAAAUCAAAUAUCGUUCUUCAUUAUAUUAAAAUCAUUUUAAGAUUUCAGAUCCAUCUGCUAAUUAUGAUUAUGAUAACAUUAAUUCACCUGUGCUUCUCAUUUUCGACACACAAGGCAUCUAGGUUUGCAGGAUUUCCUUAUUAGAUGAGAUAAAUGAGUACGCAUGGUUAUGUAUGCAGCAUUCAUUAACCAUGGUAUGUGACAUUUAGAAUUAAGAUAGCAAGCAAACUUUCCCUGCAGCUUGAGUAAAUUGUGAUUUCUUAGCCUCUAUGAGUGGUUCCCAAAUCAAAUUAACAUAGUGAAAUAUACGUAGUCCAGUGAAAGGAAAUGUAAAUUAUAAACUAACAGCACUACACUACUGGUAACACUCGAUACUCUCUAUAUAAUGCAAUGAAAUAUACGUUAUACGUUGCUUGUUCCAAGUCAAAAUUUGUGGCCAAACGUUGGCCUUUUUUCAUUUUCCCUAAGAUUAAUGCUCACCUGGGAUAGGCACUACAUGAUUUAUCUGCUCUUUUACUGUAAAGUUGCUUUGUGUAUGAGUUACACCUCCCCUGCACACCCUCAACAUUUGUUGCUCUGUUUUCCUUGUGUCCAGACGAGGAUAUUAAGUGGGGGCUGACAAAACGACUGCUAGCCAAGGAUUUACAAGGUCCUGGUUUGACGCUUCCGCGAAAGUAUUUUUGAAAAUAUACACAUAGAGAUUGCGCGUUCGGUGCAAUGCAACAAUGUGAGCCAUUCUGAAGUUUUUAAUUUCAGAUUAAUGAAUGCUACAAAAUUCUAAGAAGGGCCGUUUCCAAAUAUUUGAGUUCAUUUAUCCGAACAUCGGAUAAGUAAUGAUCAUAGAUUAUUAUUAUUAUCUGACGUUCUUAUAAUGGUUGGCAUUAUAAGAGGGUAUAUGCUUCUUUCUCUAGCCCCUCCUUCAAGGGAGGGACAAUGUGAUCUGUAUCGUUAGAAGCUAUUCCAUGUCGUCAUCUUUUGGCUUAAGUCAAUACUAAAAUAUAUGGGCGGGGCCCCUGUCAUUUUAUAUUUCUUCUAGAAGGUUUGUUCUGGAAAUCUUUCACCGAAACAUAUCUUUUUCUUCUCUACGUGAUCCGUGGUUGGAAAGUUAGAAAAAUGGGUCCGUUCACAAGCCACCGAGUUGAAAAGUUGGAAAAAUGGCAACACCGCCAACCUCUUGUAUUCGAUAGUUAAAUAAAAGGUCACUGGAAGUGAGAUCCCUUUUGGCCUCUUGAUUUUCAUCCCAGCAUCUCUAUGUCCUGAUAAACUAAAAAACUAAAAAAAAAACAGUACGUGGGUUGGUGUUAAGCAUCAAGAGUCAAGACAUGAUAAUGGAGAGAAAGGAUAUUCAAAUUCCAGUUCUGACAACAUGAUUUUCUUUCCUGAACAACCAUGUUAUAUUUGAUCAAGAAAGAGUAGUGCAUGUGGCCAGGAUCAAGACAUACAUUAAUUUCCACAUGAUGAAGACAGUUUCUGAGAGUUUCUUCUAAAGCUCUUGCGCUAGUAGGCUUCAAGUCAAAAUUUCCCAUGUAAACACUGGAUUUUCUUUAAUUGCCACUAAGGAUACAGUUAAAAUUGACUUAAAAUCCUACGUGAUAUAUAUCUUUAACAAAAGUAUAUUGUAUAUAAUAUUUGAAAUAAUGUUGAUUCGUUGUGGAAAUAUGUUUGUAAGGAAAGUUGUUGACAAUUUAAUAUAGUAUAAGAAGAAAAAAGUUAUCAACUAGAGAUGAGUAUGUAAAGUGAGGCUCACGAUUCAACGCGUAAAUAUAAGAUAUUUUAAGGCUCAAUAGUUAUGAUAUCUAUUUUAUUUUUUGUAUCCCAUAUAUUCAAAGAUACAGUAAAAUGAUUUUAUAUAUAUGAACAUAGCCGAUAGUAUCAUGUUAAAACCUUAUAUGACUCUUUGUGCCAAUUGAUUUUUAUCUUUAUUUUGUGUAUUAGUAAUUAGUAUUAAAGUUUUUACUAACAUAAUAAUUGAUAUAAAAGCUUUUUCCAAAAGAGUCAAACAGAGCAAAACACUUAUUAUAAAAAGAAUUUUGAUUGAAGGUGGAGUCAAUUAUUCUUUAUUCAACAUGUGAUGCAUACAGCGGGUACUUCAUAACUAAAGUAUAUAAGUGCAACAUCUCUUAUACAUUCUCAUUCAAUCUCGAAAGUGGAAAAUUUUAAAAGAUUAAAUGGUUCAAAUUUUCCGUGCAUAAAGGGGAUCAUGUCACAUAACCAAACCAUGGCAUACCAAAGCCAUGAUAUGGACUAAGAAUUUUGUUAAAAUAAGUUUCUUAUUAGGGCACAUUAUGUGACUAUUUAUGACAUAUCAAAGGAGUCAAGUGCAUCAAUAAAGACAUAGAAAAUUCAUGCAUCACAUGUACCACUAAGAGAAAAUUGACUUGAUAGAGUUUAGUCCAAAUAGGAGAUUGUUAAAAGGUGCAUCAAAUUCUUGAUUGAUAUAUAUUUUUUUUAUUAGAAAGGUUAUUAUAUAGAUAUUUCAAUAGACUAUUAAUCCUUUGUAAAAAUAGUUAUAUAAUGAGGAUGGUGAUUAAAAAUAUCUCUAUCAAUAUUUUGGAUUAUAAAAAGAAAAAAAAUAUGAGAAAAUGAUAAACAUAUAAAACUUGUACAAGUAGAUAGAGAUGUGAUGAAAGACACUUGAUGAAUGGAGGCCUUGUAUUUCAAGAUGUAAAUAUAUGGAGCAAAACUCUUAAUUAUAUGAUCAAAUGAUUCUCUCAUAUUCAUGAACAUAAGCAGGAUUGGGGAACCAUGAUAGAAUCUUAUAUGCCUCUCCAUGUAGAUUGAUCGAUGUUUAUCUUCAUAUUUUACACCAAUGAAUGACAUUGAAACUCUGAUUGAUAAAAGGGAAAAAGCAUGGCCUCCACCACAAGAAAAACAAGUAACCUCGGUCUAAAUCACUAGUCUACACCCCGAAGAGAGAACUAGCCAAACCUACUAAAAGAGAAACUUACCAAUUUAGAAAGAAAUCUUCCAUGAUAAAGGGCCCCUAAAAGUCCAAUUCAGUCAGGUUGUGAACAAAAACACCUUCAUGUCAAAACAGGAAUAGGUACCACCAAAAUGUAAAGGGAAAGAUGUAAACCAAGUCGAACUUUGGUAAACAAUGGUAAAGAUAGCAUGAUAGCUAAAAGCACUAAAGCUGUGCUUGGUAUGCAAAAAUGAAAAGUGGAAAUCAGCGUCUUAUUCUUUUUCUCCUUUAUUCACAUAUUAGGAUAACUAAUAUCUAAUGUUUUUUUUAUGUCUCAAAUUCUAUUCCAUGUUAUGGUAAACUUUCAUCUUGUUUAAGUGGAAGAGUAGGAUCACUUUUGUCUGGUUUGGGCUCAAGACGAUAAGCCUAUAGAGACUUCAUAUUGGGUUGAAUUGAUGCCCUUGAUCCGAUCAGUUCGUUAGAAAAAUCUGAAUUAUUAUAAGCAUUUAGAUAAAAUAAAUAAAUAAAUGUGAAACAGAGACUAUUCUCUGCACAACCUUGACCCUAGUUACUCAGUUUCACUGCUCACGGGACUAACCUCUCCAUUCAGUCGAAAUGAAUUGUAAUUUCUUUACUGGUAGCAGUAGUACUUUUCAUAGCAAAGAUAAUAGUAAAUAUGAAAUAUAAAUAUAUAGAAGGAAAUCUGGAUUGUAGAUAGCACCAUAAGUAACACUCAAUAUUUACUACAUAAUAAAAGAGAUAGUGUUACAAAGGUAGAGAAACCUACAAUGAGUACUCAUCACCAUUCUCAAACAGAAACAUAGCAGUGACUUAUACAUAGAACCUAUAGGCUCGCAGGGAAAGAGUAACAUGAUAAGUGCACAGCGGGUAGCAGCUCUUAUUUUACGUAUUACUCAAAAUCUCAAACUAACCAAAGUCACUCAGUUGGGAUGGGUAGGAGAUGGUGGUUUGUGGGGUGGCUUCUGGGUAGGAGCUGGUGGCUUCUUUGUUGGAGUUGAAGGAGGCGUAAUCUUCUGAGGUGGCUUGUAUGAGUCUUUGGCACUCUCUGCAGGAGGGUGCCCAGGGUUGUGACCGGAAGGAGGUGGCUUCUGUCCCUUUGGUGGUUUGCCUAAUGGGCUUGGUGGCUUGUGCUCCGGGAGUUGUUUCUCUCCCUCGAGUAGGUUUCGAGUUUUGUCAGAUGGCUUGUGUUCUGGUGGUGGCUUCUCUCCCUGGGGUGGUUUGCCGAAUGGGCUUGGUGGCUUGUGUUCGGGGAGUGGCUUCUCUCCCUUGGCAGGUUCAGUUGGUGGCUGGUGCUCCGUAGGUGGUUUCUUCACCGCCGGCUUCUCUCCCUGGAGAAGGUUACGAGUUUUGUCAGAUGGCUUCUGUUCUGGUGGCGGCUUCUCUCCCUGGGGUGGUUUGCCAAAUGGGCUUGGUGGCUUGUGUUCGGGAACUGGCUUCUCUCCCUUGGCAGGUUCAGUUAGUGGCUGGUGUUCCGUAGGUGGUUUCUUCACCGGCGGCUUGUGCUCCGGAAGCGGCUUCUCUACCUGGAGAAGCUUACGAGUUUUGUCAGAUGGCUUGUGUUGUGGUGGUGGCUUCUCUCCCUGGGGUGGUUUGCCAAAUGGACUUGGUGGCUUGUGUUCGGGGAGUGGCUUCUCUCCAUUGGGAGGUUUAGUUGGUGGUUGGUGUUCCGUAGGUGGUUUCUGAAGUGGGGGAUGCUUGGGGUAGUCAGCAAGAGACGAGGUAGUGAGAACCACCAGUCCCAGCAGCAAUACUAGCAAGGAUGUGGAAGACAUCUUUGAGUUCAGGCUGAGAUUUGUGCAAGGCUAGAAGAAUUAGGUGGCCUUUUAUAGCGGGCUGGACCCAACAACCAAAUGACACGUAUCAUGAUACACAUAUGUGUUAUAAGAUCCUUGUGGGUCCUACAGAAGUUGAAAACUUUGACAAUUGAGGUGUGAUUACAACUUUUGUCCCUAUUGCUUUCUCGUCAGCCGUUUUGCAAGAUUUUUGACAGGAGGACGGUAGUUUAAAAUAAUAAUUUCUAAAGUACUUUUGUGAAAAAAAAUAAUUCCAAACGUGGAUUUUAUCAAGUAAAAAAAACAAAAAAAAGUUAUUUUCUUUUAAAAUCUUUUCUUCAUGAUUCAUAUACCAAAAAAAGAAUUGUUUUCUGUAGGUAAAAUUUUUAAAAUUCAUUUUUAAAAAAAAAAAAUUACACACUAAAAUUAUCUCUUCAAGAAAAUAUUUUUUAAAUUUUAAAUAAUUAUUAAUUUAUAAUUAAUUUUUUAUUAAUUAUUUAUUAAAUUUAUAUGUGAAAAAUGCAUUUAUAAAAAACAAAUUUUUUAUUAAUUUAUUAAAUAAUUAUUUACAAAAUAAAUAAUUUUGCUUUAUUUUAAUUUUAAAAUUAAUUUUAUUAUAUAAAUUUUAAAAUUAAAAAUAUUAAUAUUUAAUUUAAAAUUUAACUAUAAAAGGAAUAAAAUAUAGAAAAAUAAAUUAAUUUAUUAUUCAAUAAAUUAAUUUUCAAUAAAAUUUUCAGCAUUAAGAGAUAAAUUUUUAAGUAUUAAUCAAUUUAAAAAAUAAUAAUAAUCAUUUGUAUACUAAGAUAUUUUAUUUAGUAAUUAUGAAUGAUAAACAACUAAAGUAAUUUGAAAAAAUAAUAAAAUAUUUAAAAAUAAUAAUUUAAUACACUUAAAAUUAGAAAUGAUUAACUAUUUUUUAUUAAGAAAAAAUUGAAGAAAUAUUUUGUUAUUUAAAAUUUUUUAUUUGUUUUCAAUUUUAAAUGUUAUAGGUUUCAAGAAAAUUGAUCAAAUAAAAAUUAAGAAGUCAUUUUUUCAAAAACUAUAUAUCUAAAUAAAAGCCUUGAAAUUCAAAUACACAAUAUCAUAAAUAUAAACACCAAGUCAAUCCUUAAUUAUCAAAUGUUUUUAAUAUUAAAGAAUCAAAAUCACCUACUAUCAUGAUAAUAAGAAAACCAAUAAUAUUGUUCAUAUAAAUACUAAAAAGCUAACAAAUAUCCCAAACAAUUAAUAAAGUAUCAAACAUGAUAAAAAGUCAAUUAUUAUCAUGAAUGCAAAAAAUCAAUAAUUUUGUUUAUAUGAACCAUCAACAAAGAAAAAAAAAAUCAAUAUCUAAAUAUUAAACAUAAUUUAUAUUUUUAUAAAUAUUAUUGUUGAUAAAUAUCUUAAUAAUUAUAAUUUUUUAUAUAUUAAAUUUAGUAAAUAAAAUUAAUUAAUUUUAUAAUAUAAGAUAUAUAUAAUAAUUAAGAGACUAUUUGUCCCAAACAAUUUAUUUAUUUUUUUUUUAGGAAAUUGUCUCUUCAAGAGACGACUUCUCCCAACAUUUUUAAAAAAAAAAAAAAAAACAUCUAUUCAAAAGACGAUUUCUCCUCAUUUUUUAAAAAUGAAUUUUAGAAAUCAUAUUUUCAAAAAUGAAUUUUAGAAAUCAUAUUUUCAAAAGACGAUUUUUUUUUAUAUAAAUUAUUUUUUAAAAUGACGAUUUUAAAAGGAAAUAACGAUCUCUCUCCUACUUGGCAAAAACUAUGGUAAAUUUGGAAUUAUUUCUUCCACAACCAUAGUUUAAGAAUUAUUUUUUUAUACUUUCGUAGACUUAUCAAAAAUCCCUAUUUUGCAUGUCUCAUUUGGCAUGACUUUCUUACCUAAACAAGCAUAUAUAUAUAUAUAUAUAUAUAUAUCACUUUUGUCUGGGUUGAGUCAAUGCCCUUAACUAAUUUGUUCAUUUGAAUAGUCUAAAUUAUUAUAAGCUUUUAGUUAAGAAAAAUGUGAAACAUAAAUUACACCUCUCGGCACAACUUCGACACUGGUUACUCUGUUUCAGUUUAUUCACACAAGAUUAUUGGUUCUAGGGUUUAUUUGGUUUUGGUUUGAUUCUAAUUGCUAAACUUUCUCAAGGAAGAUGUUAUAUAGGGAGUGAGAAACCUUCACUCCUGGCUACCUCCAAGAGAAGAGCAAGUGGUCUGAAUCAAAGAUAUACUGCUCACUUUUUCUUCUUCUAAGGACAGCUAUGACCUUGCUUUAAAAUGUUCGAAUAGCCUAAUGCAACCUCCCAUUUCUCAAGUCAGCUGAUGAUGUAAGUCACCUUGGCUUUCCACAUUCAUACGGUGAGGACGUUUGUGGGUGUAAUUCUCUUAACAGUUUUCAUUUUAUAUGGAAAAAUUCAUAAUUAAGGGUAAUUACUGAUUCCAUUUGACAGUGACCAAGUUUAAAAUAUUAACUCAUGUAUUAAAUGCACAUUAAAAAAUCAUGGAAUAAAUAUAUUUACUAAUAUAUAGUUCUUUUGUCAUGUUCUGUCACAGAAGCAUCGAACUUUCCCUAGAAAUUUUUGCAUGGUAUUCUGCUUAUGAUUUUGAAAACUCUAGGCACCUAAGGCCACUGAUUGCAUGGUUGGAUGAGGAGCUGCAUGAGAUUAUGUAUCCUGUUGCUCCUUAACUACAAAUAUCAGUUUUAAGUAGCAUCUCCAUGUGACAUUUUCCUGAUGCAAUUUCGCUGUCCACCAACAAAUGUCUCCAUGCAGCUAGAUGAAUUGUAAUUUCUUUGUUGUUAUCAACAGCUUUAAUUAAUCUUGAUAUAUAUAUAACUUAGUAGAAGUAAUUAAUCUAGAUUGUAGUUGCACUAAGAUAAUAGGCAAUAUUAUAACAGUGCCACAAUGCUCAUCGCCAAAUAGAAAGGUAGAAAAACUACAAUGAGUAACUCACACAACAUUCUCAAACAGGACAUAGCGGCGACUGAUACAUAGAACACUAUUGGCACUCAGGAAAUGAUAAGAUCAGUGCCCAGCAGGCAGCACGUCUUAUUUUACAUACUACUUAAAACUAACCAAAGUCAUUCAGUUGGGAUGGGUGGGAGAUGGUGGUUUGUGCGGUGGCUUCUUUCCUGGAACUGGUGGUUUUUUUGUUGGAGUUGAAGGAGGCUUAAUCGUCUGAGGUGGCUUGUAUGAGUCUUCAGCACUCUCUGCAAGAGGGUGCCCAGGGUUGUGACCAUAAUGAGGUGGCUUCUCUCCCUUAGGUGGUUUGCCAAGUGGGCUGGCUGGCUUGUGCUCCGGGAGCGGCUUCUCUCCCUUAG